rnacentral:lncRNA from 1 species
UCACUUGGUAGACACAUUAGCAAUAUCAGGAUCAGUUUGUUUCUACAGAAUAUAAGUAAAGAUCACUGUUUUUGCCUCUCUUGUGAUUCUAACCAAAGGGCAUUACUCGUUUAGAAAAAAAUGAGUUUAGUUUCCCUUGAAACUAAAGUGUCAUAUAAAGGACCUUCUGGAUAAUAGCCUAUGAUUCCCUACCAUUUAUCAUAGAAUAAAAAUGUUCCCCUAACUAAGUUCAGUUCCAAAGAUUUGAACCCCGCGUAAACAACUUCUUUAGCAUAUCAAUGUACUUGAAGAACCUAACGCAAAUAUAACUAAUGCAUAGCUAGUUUAUUAGAUGUGAUGCACACUUACAACUCUUUGCAGAGGUUGUCUGUUAGUACAGAGAGAGUGAUGAUCUUCAUUCUAGUCUCCAAAAGUUUAUCUUCAGGAUGGUCAGCAAAUGGUUCCUCCAAGAACAUCGAAAGUCUUUCAACAUUUAUUUCAAGUUGCUGCUGCAGGUUUUCAAAAAGGUUCUUCUUUAUUUCCCUUUCUUUUGGUGUCAUUUCAUCCUUGAACAGCGCCUGACCAAAAACGUAAAAUGAAACUGGAUAGGAACAGGAGAGAAUUCGCCUUAAUUGAAGGAGUCUAUUACAUCCAUUUUCUACCCAGCUGAAGUCCUUUGAUUGCAAUUCCCCUGCUUCAAGUUUCAACACUUCAAAAUUUAGUUUUUGCUUCAUGUUUGCUUCAGCCUCCAACGAAUCACGAUGAACCAUAUAGCGCUCAUAAUAAUGAGUAUAGCGCAAGAGAUCAUUUCUGACAGUCGUCGUCUUUUCCUCUUCCCCUUCCUUAUAACUGCCACAAGUGUGACCUCGAAUGCUACUCCAUGUGUGUUCUAAACCAGUAGCUCCACCACACAACCAACUACAAAGUAUAAAAUAAAAUUUGCAUACACAAAUAUAAGCGACGGAGAAAGAGAAAGUACUGGUAUAAUUUGGCUUGGCCAACAUUCUUUCAAUGAAUUAACUAAUAUGAGCGAGGAAAAAAAGGAGAAACUACUAUGCCAUACUUUGAGCUUGUAGGUAAGAAAAAGGAGAAAUGUGUAUUUUAACUGUUACUCUACACUCAAAGAAAAACUAGCUACAUCUCUAGCAAGGGAUGGAUAACCUUAGGAUCUUAACUUCUAUAACCUUGAAAAUGCUCUUUUUUUACUUUCUCUUCCUGCUCUCCACAAUUGAGCUUAUACUUCCUCUUCCUUUGCCCGCUUAUACUACAACCACAAAUAUUGCUGCCUCUCUUUGUCCUUCUAAUUCUUGGUCAAGUUUUCAUUCUUGGAAUCAGGACAGAUUAUCCGUUUUAUCUGUUCAUCAACUCUCUUAGCAUUUCCUCUCCUUUCACCCUCUUUUUUUUUUUUUACAGUUUCCUGCUUUAAAAGUCAUCAAUCUCUACUCCUUGGAAGUCCUUGUUUGCAUCAUAUGCAAUUCAUGCAUCACAAGACUAAUUACCCCCCACCCCCACCCCAAACAAAACCCCCCAAAAAACUCCCGGGAGACCAAAAAAAGAGAAGGAACAGAAUAAAUAGUUAAAAGACUUCAACAGAAAAAUAUAUAUCAAAAUGAAAAUGGUAUAGCAAAGAAAUGGAAUAAGAAUAGAACAUAUAAAUCAGCAAAUUGGAAGAACAUAAGACUGCAGACAUGGAUAAAGUCUCACCAAAACGGCUGUCCACAUCUACAUCUUACAAGGUUGCAUCCCCCAUUCUUCUCCACGGCAUUAUGACAUUUUGGGCAAUGUUUGGCAUUUUCACUUAUCCAUGUUACUGUCUUACCAUCGUUCUUGCACUUCUUCAUCCAAAGUUUCCACAUCAGACAUGAACAAGGAGAGUGUGCUUCUGAUAAACAAUUAAAACAGAACUGUACACCACAUGCACAUUCAACCUCACAGCAGUAUUCAUCAUCCUCAAUACGAAUUGCAUUUCCACAAUGAGGAACACUAGGGCACCAUUUAACCCUCUUGUUAUCAUCAAUAUAUGACUCUAACAGAAAACGAUCAAAUUUCUCUGCCAAAGCAGGAUCUUUUGCAGUGACGAGAUCCCUAAUCUUUCCUUCAUCACAGAUCACAUUGCACUUUUGGGCCAUGCAAGUUACUUGUUUACUCUGACCCUCAUUUAUUUUUACAAUGAAAUGAGUUGUCCAACCUACAUAGAACAAUUAUUGGCAACUUUUAGCCUACACAUCAUUUGUUCGAGUGACCAGAAAAGAGAAAGCACCAACAAUAAAUACAAUAAGUGAAUCUAGCUCAUCAACUUUUCAAGAUGCACUAAUCACUUUCACAUUAAAGAAAAUCAACGAAGCCAUAGGUUUGCUAUAGAAACAGAUUCUAAAUGCUAUUGAUGCCAUUAAAGAUGCAGUGAAAUCAUCAGUAUUUCGAAGUUAGGUAGUAACGAAAAGGAUCCCAACAGCUUUCCCACUUAUGUGAGGCAUACAAACAGAGAUUUCAAAUGUUGGGACAACAAACUCCAGAUCAUGUGUCAUAAGUGACGUGUCACUAGUAUAAUGAUUAAAUAGGGACAAGAGAUAAGAGAAACACUAUAUUCGUACAGAGAUAGAGGCUCAGGGAAGGGAUGGGAGAUGCUCACAUUCAUUGCAAAAUAUAUGGUUGCAGUCCAUUACAGUAGUCUUCUCAACAGGGACAUCUUCGAAGCAAAUUUGACAUGUCACUUCAGAUGUCGACAGAGUGGAAGUAUGUUCAUCUUUCCCGUCCAGUGUCACACCCGCUUCAGCAUAUAACUUUUCUGUCCCUCUCUCAACAAGAACCGCAAAGACCUUGUCAACUUCCCAUCGGUAAUGAAUAAGCAAGCUUCGAGCAUGAUGUUCCUUCAGAGAUAGCAAGUCCAUCACUCUUUGCAAGUCUUCUUUCUGCAAGUUAAAUACCAAUGUUUCACAUGUCAGUCAUUAAAUUAACAUUUAUCCAUAUGGCAAAGUUGAAACUUUGGGAAAAGUUGCUCACCUGUGCAGCUAAAAGAGUCUCUUUCCUGAUUACCUGCAAAACCCAAUAGUAGGCAUAAAGAAUUCAAGAAAUUCAUAAAUCAUAAAAAUGAAAACAGCAGACAACUUCACAAUUCAGGGUGAUUUUUUGCUUCCUAUGUGUUCCCUGAUAAGUAAUUAUAUAUCCUGUACUGUGCCUCAUGCACUCACUUGGCACGCAGUAUGAAUUGCUUCACAGGACUAAGAAAAUGCUUGUACGUGGCAGAAAAUCAAAAAGUUAGACUGCUAGCCAGAAGCUAAUCUCAUUUAAAGAAUUUCUAGCAUAAUAUCAUAUAUUUUAAAAUCAUUAAAACUUCUCUUUUUUUGUAAAGGAAACACCAUCCAGUAUACAACAACAUACCCACCAUAGUCCCACAAAGUGAGGUCUGGGGAGGGUAGAUUGUACGCAAACCUUACCUUUAGCUUACAGGUAAAGAGGUUGUUUCCUACAGACUCUCUCAGCUCAAGAAAAAACAGUCCAAACAAGGCCAAAAGAAACAACGGAGGUGAAAGUAUAACAAAGUAUACUUACGAGAAACGCAGAAAACAACAGAAAACGAAGGCAAGAAACUACAUGAGCAAUACUACGACUACUAGUAUGGACGGAUAGUCAGACAACCCACUACACCAUCCAGUGUCUUUUCCCAUAUUUAAUCACUGGAAAUGCAUAAGAACUACUAGUACCAAUUUUUCAACUGAAACAGUAUUAAACAGCCGUUCUAGAGUUCUGAUGUACUAGAAACUGAACAUUCUGAUACAGAGCAUAUAUUGUGUGUGUGAAAGAAGCUACAACCAAAACCAGAAGAAAAUAUGAAGGAAAACCUAAUCAAGACUCAAAAGGGACAUCCAUUAGGCACCGGCAUUUUUCGAAAACAAUAAAAUUAAACACUUUGCAUGAAAAGGGUUACAGGAUCAUUCAAGAUUUAAACUUUAUAAAUUAAUUUCUCGAAAUCCUUAAUUGGGUUUCAAAAUAUAAAGCUACUGAAUUCGUUUGAACGGUAAAUUUCACUUUUAUCAUACUACCUUGCAUGAAGGACCCUUUUUGGAGAUUCCAUUUCUCUCUUGUUCAAUUUCGGUAAACCCAUCAAGAAAUUCACCAUCAUCAUCAUCAUCAUCAUCAUCGUCGUCGUCAUCGUCAUUAUUAUACUGUUGAUUGUCCCAUUCAUCAUCAUCGCUGCUCACAUAGAUAUAGUCCUCCAUAAUUUUUCACAUACACUGAAACCCCACAGAGAAAAAACGGAAAACCAAAAAUGUUAGCAAUUUUACGCUUUGAUGAUCCCUAGGUUUGUUUGUCGAUUCUUGAAAUUCCUUCGUGGGGAAGGAAGAUUUUUGGAUUUUUGGAGUGUUUUGAUCGGAGUGAAAUUCUGUCAAAUAUUGGUUCACUGUACUGUACAAACUCCUAUGCAGCUUGGUCAACAAUAGUCUCACCCUCUUUUUGGACUGUGAUAGGAUGGUCGAGAUUUGACGUUUCGAGUUUGAGCCUCGGAAGAAAUUAUGAUGGAGGCACCAACAUUUGAAAUAGGUUUACAAUAUGUGAAUUUAGAUUGAUCAAGUUUUGAGUUCGAGCUUUGGAGAAAAUUAUUAUGGAGAUGUUGCUUUAGAAAGAGGUUUACAAUCUGUGAAUUUGGACUAAUCGAGUUUCGAGUUUGAGCCCCGAGAGAAAAUUAUGAUGGAGGGGCUCCUAUCAAAAAUAAGUUUGUAAUGUGUGAAUUUGAAUUAGUCAAGUUUUAAGUUUGUGUUGGAAAAAGUUAGAUUGGGAGUGUGUUCUCAGAGAUGGGCGUUGCACUGCGCAAAUUUAAGUUAGUCAAGUUUCGAGUUUUAAGUUCGAGCCUUAAAAAAAUAUAAUGUCAGAUCAUGUAAUGCACGAAUUUGAAUUAGUAGAAUUCCAACACGAAUAUAAAAUAGUACAAUUAAAUAUUGUAUGAAAAAUUAAAUCUUUUAAUGAAGUUUUAUUUGGUAUAUUAUAUUGUUAGGUUAAAUUAGAUCAAUUUUUUUUUUAAUAUGGUAUAAUAUUGUAUGUUUUAGAAUAUUAUUUUUAAUAUGGUAUAAAUCGUGUAAACUAGAAUACUACAAAGCUAAAUAGUCUUGAAACAUUAUCUUUCUUGCACAAAAAGUUGAUAAUCCUCUUGAAGAAAAAAAAUGUUAUUAUACUUCAUGAAUUACAUCAUAAUUAAAAUCUAUUUUAAAACGCUAUAGAUAAAUUAGAAUCUAUAAUAAAUCUGCUAACAAAUAAAUCAAAUCUACUUAAACACAAAUUAAAUAUACUUUACAUGAGAACUGAUAGCACAAUUACAACCCGUUUUUUUUAUAUGAAAAAUAUAAAUAUUUAAAUUUAUUCAAUAAAUUAAUAUGAUAUGUACAUAUAAUUUAUCAAAUUAAUUUUUUAAACAAAAUUAACUUAUUUAUAAAAUUUAAAAAUCAAAUCCAAAAAAUAUAAUUUAUUUAAUUAAUUAUAUUCAAUUUUUCGAUUUGAAUCGAUACUUUAACCACCAAAUAAAAAACACAACAAUUCUACUUGGUGGGCAAGGAAAGAGAAUAAUGUGUGGUCAUAUCAUUUGGACAAGUCAUGUGAGCAUGUGCCUAUUGUAUUUGCACAUGAAGAUAAUGUGUAUAAAAUUCAAUACUUGCUCACCAAGGAUGUAAUAUUUGGUGGAAGUUUCUUGCCAAAUUUAGAAGCCUAAGUCAUUAAAUUAAAACUAGCCAACAAAUAUAUAAUUUAAACGUGUAUAAAAUUGAACAAGUAAAUAUUUUAUUCAGCAUCUUACGUGACAAUUUGUAUAGAUUACCCAUGAGGCCUCAUAAUAAGAUCGAAAUCUAUGGAGUUUGAACCCUAAACAAAAGAGCAAGCAAAUUAUGAAUCAAAUCAAAGGGGCAAAGGCGCAUGAACCCGCCUUUGCCCUCAUCCCUUAAGGGCCGAUUGGCUAACCUGAAGUGUAAGAUGUAUGGGCUCUUGUACGUGCCCAUGCGCCUUACAUGUGGUUCCACGCCUUUUACUUCCAUUCCAUUCAACUAUUAUCUCAAUUUUCGUUUUCUCCGCUCUUAAACUUGAUUAUUCCGCUUUUAAAUUUAUAUAAAAUUAAAUAAAUAGCCACAUAUCAUACCUGAUAAUUUGCGUACUCGAUUUAUUGGAUUAUAAAUAGAGGAGUUGUAUCUAAUUUGAAAACUACACCAAAUAGUGAGAAGCAAUAUUCCAUCUUCCUUCAAAUUCAAACAAACAUAUAUGGCGGAGAGGGAUAGAAGAAGCAAAUCCAUGGAAGUGAGAAGGAGAAAGAGAACCAGUAGCGAAGAACAUUCAUAUGCUGUUGCUGCUUCUUCUCCGUGGGACAUUGUGGCUCCUUCUCCAAUUCCAAUUAGGGCAUCGGUAAGAUCUUCAACUUCUAAGUAUCCUGCAAAAAAUUACAAUUUUAGUGCUAAAAGAAAUUGUAUCUCUGAAAUAGGUAGUACAAAUGAUUAUUCACGAACUAGAAAAAAAAUCCUUGGCAAAAACUGGGAGAAUCGUCAGCUUUUGAGAUCUGGAGCUGUUAGAGGUAACAAGGUGCAAACGGAGUUUGAUGAUGAUGAAGAGGAACGGAAGGUGAUUCUUCAUGUUCAUGAUAUAAAGCUGCCUCCAUUUUUGGAUGGGAGAGUUAUUUUCACUGAGCAAACUGAGCCGAUAUUGCCAAUUAAGGAUGCAAUGUCCGAUAUGGCACUAAUUUCACGAAAAGGGUCAGCUCUUGUUCGGGAGAUACACGAAAAACAAAAGAGGGAUAAGUCUCGGCAAAGAUUUUGGGAGCUAGCUGGGUCGAAACUCGGAGAUAUUCUUGGUGUGGAGAAGAGUGUUGAUGAGAUUGAUGCAGAUACUGUUGUAGUGGGUGAGGAUGGUGCGGUUGAUUUUAAGGGAAAAGCCAGAUUCUCGCAGCACUUAGCUGUCAGUGAUUUUACAAAAUCGAAAACAAUUUCACAGCAACGACAGAAUUUGCCCAUAUUCUCUGUGCGAGAUGAGUUAUUGCAGGUGGUUAGUGAAAAUCAGGUGGUGGUUAUUAUUGGAGAAACUGGUUCUGGAAAAACAACACAGCUAACUCAGUACCUGUAUGAAUAUGGUUAUACAGUUAAUGGGAUCAUAGGUUGCACCCAACCUAGACGUGUGGCAGCGAUGAGUGUUGCCAAAAGAGUUAGUGAGGAAAUGGAAACUGAGCUCGGGGAUAAAGUUGGAUAUGCUAUUCGUUUUGAAGAUGCCACUGGGCCAAGUACUGUUAUCAAGUACAUGACCGAUGGUGUGCUCUUAAGGGAAACUCUUAAGGAUCCCGAUCUUGAGAAAUAUAGUAUAAUUUUAAUGGAUGAAGCCCAUGAGAGAUCACUUGACACUGAUGUCCUUUUUGGCAUUCUCAAGAAAGUUGUGGCUAGGCGACGUGAUUUUAAGCUUAUUGUCACUUCUGCCACUCUCAAUGGCGAGAAGUUCUCAAACUUCUUUGGGGGCGUACCAAUAUUUCACAUACCUGGAAGGACUUUUCGAGUUCAAAUAUGUUAUAGUAAAACCCCAUGUGAAGACUAUGUCGAAGCUGCAGUUAAGCAAGCCAUGACUAUCCAUAUUGCUGGUGCCCCUGGUGAUAUACUCAUCUUCUUGACUGGUCAGGAUGAGAUCGAAGCAACCUGUUAUGCACUUUCAGAGAGGAUGGAACAACUUAUCUCAUCAACAAAGCAACCAGUACCCAAGCUGUUAAUUCUUCCUAUAUACUCUCAACUGCCUGCUGAUCUGCAAGCAAAAAUUUUCCAGAAUGCUGAAGAUGGGGCUCGCAAAUGCAUUGUUGCUACUAAUAUCGCUGAGACGUCCUUGACCAUUGAUGGAAUUUUCUAUGUCAUUGAUACAGGCUAUGUUAAAAUGAAGGUGUACAAUCCCCGUAUGGGUAUGGAUGCUUUACAAGUGUUCCCCAUUAGUCGAGCUUCUGCAGACCAACGUGCUGGUCGAGCUGGUAGAACUGGCCCAGGGACUUGUUACAGACUUUAUACAGAGAAUGCUUAUGAGAAUGAAAUGCUGCAAAGCCCUGUGCCAGAGAUUCAACAGACAAAUCUUGGGAAUGUGGUAUUGCUGCUCAAGUCUCUCAAAAUUCAAAACUUGUUGGAUUUUGAUUUUAUGGAUCCACCUCCUCAAGAUAACAUUCUUAACUCCAUGUAUCAGUUGUGGUUACUAGGUGCACUGAACGAUGUUGGGGAUUUAAUGGACCUUGGACGAAAAAUGGUGAAGUUCCCAUUGGACCCUGCCCUUGCCAAAUUGCUCCUGAUGGGGGAAAAACUAGAAUGCUUAAAUGAGGUUCUGACAAUUGUUUCUAUGCUUUCAGUGCCUUCAGUUUUCUUUCGACCUAAGGAUAGGGAAGCGGAAAGUGAUGCUGCUAGGGAAAAGUUUUUUGUGCCAGAAUCUGAUCACCUUACAUUGCUUAAUGUUUACCAGCAAUGGAAAGCUAAUGAAUACAGAGGAGACUGGUGUAAUGACCAUUUUUUACAGGUCAAAGGUCUGUACAAGGCUAGGGAGAUAAGAUCCCAAUUGCUGGACAUCCUCAAGACACUCAAAAUUCCACUCACAUACUGCGGUUCUGAUUGGGAUGUUGUGCGGAAAACAAUCUGUUCCGCAUACUUUCAUAAUGCAGCUAUGCUGAAGGGGAUUGGGGAAUAUGUUAAUUGCAGGAAUAGAAUGCCUUGUAACCUGCAUCCCACAAGUGCUCUCUAUGGAUUGGGUUACACUCCCGAUUACGUGGUUUAUCAUGAGGCAAUCUUGACGACAAAGGAGUACAUGCAGUGUGUGACAGCUGUGGAGCCUCACUGGUUAGCAGAAUUGGGGCCAAUGUUUUUCUCCAUGUAAGAUUCUGAUACAUUAAUUCAAGACCAUAAAAUGAAACAGAAAACUGUUUUGGUUAGUAUGUGUUAACUUCUUUAGAAAUCUACAUGUGAUUUGUUGUUGUUUAAGUUGUUUUGGAUAUUUUUACCAUUUGAUGAAUAUUAGAAAAAGAUCGUUCCAAAAAUAUAAGACUAGAUGAUGCAUCGUUAAGCAUUUGUUUGCACGGUUGUUUAGGUCAGACAAUGAAUUUGUGUCGUUUAAGAAAAUGGUACACACCAUAAUUAAAUAUUAUAACUUGGAUGUUUGUCAAAAGUGUACACAAAGCAAUUGUUAACCCGUUUCUUGUAAGCUUUUGUUUAGGUCUAUUAUUAAUUUUAGCUAUGAAGAAUUCUAUGACUGUAUAAUUUGAGAAAGUAUUAGAUGAAAUUAAGUUGUUGUCUGGGGGCAGACUGAAAAUCUGGAUUCAAAGGGUCCUUUUCAGUUUUCUGUUUUUGCCAUUUUCUUUUGAUUAUCCUGAUUGCAUUAUGUCAAUGUUUAGCUUUGUAUUUUACACGUAUUAAUGUACUUUUGAUACAUUUUUGAACAAUGUAUUGGAAGGGGAGCAAAUGUUGAUGUACACACUGAACGAGGCAUCGAGGAACGUCAUGGCAUCGAUGAUAAAGUUGAUGUUUUGAAGAGUAUACUCAAGAUCAGUGUCAGUAGUUCAAUAUUGGCUACCACAUGGUGGUCGAGGGCUCAUUCAACGGCCAAUAGAACUUAAUAUACAGGUUCGUAUUCAGAAUUUAGACGUCUGAAUCUUAAAACAUACAGCCUUAGUCUAGGCUCUAGAACAAAUGCAAAAAAAAAACAAGGCUGGAGUUAGUUUAACCCCUCCUAUGUCCAUAUUCUUAAUUCUGACUGGUUUGUUCUGCCUUAUGUACAUUAACUUGAAUCUUCAGUAGACAUGAUACUAGCUCUUCCAUGCUUGGACGAUUUGUUGGUUCUCGAGUCAAGCAUCUUAAGCUUAGGUUGGCUACCGAAAAUGCUAUUUCCAAAUCAUCAUCUUCCCUCAUAUCUGCUUUGAUGAAUCCAUCCAGUUCAAUUUCUGCAUUUUCUCCUUCCAUUAUUGCAGCUACUGCAGCAGAAAGCAGAAUUUCUCCACUUUCCUCUACAAUUACAGCAUCUUUUCCGGUGACUAAUUCCAACAGUACAACUCCAAAGGCAUAAAUGUCCAUCUUUGAAGUCACUGACCCUCUCUCAACGUACUCAGGCGCCAUGUAUCCUGUUGUCCCAACAAGCUCCCAACUCGUGCCUGAUUUAUCCGUUUCUUUAGCAAGACUGAAGUUUGCAAUCUUUGCUCGUAUGUUGCUGUCGAGGAGAAUGUUUCUACUGUUGAUGUUCUUGUGGAUGUAGCCUGGUUUGGUAAAGCUGUGAAGAUAAUGAAGUCCAUUAGCUACAUCCAACGCAAUCUGAAUCCUUUUUUUCCAGCUUAUGGUAUCUCGAGACUUGGUUCUGGUCAGCCAUUCCCUGAGAGAGCCAUUUUUCAUGUAUUCAAAGACAAGAAAGAAGCAACCUUUAUGUUCACAAUAGCCACAAAGCUUUAUUAGAUUGAAGUGAUUGAUCUUAUGCAGCAUGUUCACUUCUCUAGAUACAUCCAUGAUUGCUAUUUUGACUGCUAAGAUUUCCCCUUUAAACCCUCCCCAGUAUACAGAUCCCUUUAUCCGGUUCUUGGAGUCAAAGUUUCGCGUAGCAUGCUUCAAUUCUUUGAACUUGAAAACUUUAGGGACAUGAUCUAUGUUCGCGAUCUCCACGAGGAUAUCUUCAUGACUUGAAGACCUCCUUGGAAAUUUUCUAUCCCUUUUUUUAAACAAAGCAAGAAGGACGACCCAAGAAACCACAAGCAGUAACAGAACAAAGCCUGUUGCAACUCCACUACCUAUGUAAAGAUUUCUCUUUGAUUUUCCCUUUGAAGCAUUAGCUACCGGUGGAGGUGAAAAGGACCUAACAGGUUUUCUAUAAUUCUCAUUUCUGGUAUCUAAAUUUGAUGGUUCAGAAGGCAGGGGAAUUAGAAUGGUUGUAAAAGGAUACAGAACAGAAUUUUCAUCCAAGAAUCCAUUUGAUUCAACUAUGUUCGUUACACUAACAUUAAAUCUUUUGCCAACUUUAAGGAUGUCAUCGCCAACGUCAAUUGAAUAAGUCAUCAAAUACUUUGAGCCUUUUGCAACUUGUUUUGCUGUUGGACAGGCACACCUGAGAGGAACUUGCAACUCAAGACCAGGUCUUAAACUGAACUCAUCAUAUUCAUUUCGACGUACUAAUGCAUUACAGGUUGAUAAUCCUUGGUAAAUAUUAUUUGCUAUCACAAAGUAUGUUUCAAUAAGAGGUGAUAUAUAGUACAUGGUUUUGGCUUUGAUAAUACGAACCUGAACAAGAGCAGUCCACUGGAAUUAUAACCUCCUUUUCUGGCGCGAACACUGUAAGCCUCGUGACAUUGUUGAUACGAGUAAUCUCAGACAUGUUUGAAGACAUGAGAGCAGCAAUUCCAGGUACUGAAUUGUAAGGAUCCCUAGCCUUGAAUAUGAGAAAUGCUUGACAAGUGGAAUUUCUUCCAUUGCAAGAGUAAUUCGUUUCGUAUUCGUUUUUGCAGUUCAAUACUGAAUUACCUGAGUAUUCUUGUUGAGCUUUGGUACAUGAAAUUAGAAAGUUUAGUAUGCAGAGAAUAUUCAGAAACCAAUUCAUAGCUGUUGUUUUCUUGAUUAAGUAUAUGAACAUGGAGGAAUUGGUCUUGUGAAUAUAUUUUGUUGGAUUAUGUAUAAUGUAAGUAUAAACGCGUUAAACAUUAUUAAAUUUUGUAUAUAUUAUGUCUCAUUCGAACUUAAUUUGAUCCAGAAAAUUUGUUUAAGGAAUGUGUCAUCCUAUCAGAAGACUACAAAGUCAAGUGGAUUUUUAUUAAAGAAAUCAAUGUAGAUGUGACAAUAAUUUUUGACUGACUAGACUAUGUAAAUGUGUCAUUGUAUUAUCAAGAAUUGUUAUUAUUCUUAUGUUUCCAUUCAAGGGGCAUCAAGAGAAUGAAAACAACAACAACAUACCCGGAGUAUUCCCACAAGUAGGAUAUGGGAAGGGUGGAAUAUACACAACACAAAUCUUACUCCUACCUUGUGGAGAUAAAUAUGAUGUUUCCGAAAGACCAUCAGCUCAAGUAACAGACAUAAGAAGAAAUGAGUUUAGAAAUUUGAUUUAGUAGACGUUUCAUCUACUAUGUGUGUCUCGAAAUGGUGAAAGCAAUAUUUUACUUGGAGCAAUAUUGGUUUAUUGUCAUAAUUCCACGACUCGAUUGAUACAACAACAUACGUUGUGAAAUUCCACAAUGAUACUUACUUUUGAUUAUUUUCAAACAGCGUUACAUGUAUAAGGAGAUCUUCUUGGAAGCAUGCUACUUUUGCUCGAACUAUGUAUGUAUAUCAAUAGUUGAAAAUUCCUAAAAAAUGAAUAUUCGCGUCAAAUUCAGUCAUCGUCACAAGAAAAUACUGAAUGAUACAUAGUUAUUUUAUGCCCAUUAAUUUAAAAUCUUGAAUUAGUCUCUGAAAAUAUGGUACACGUAAAGAACAACACUAAUCAUAAAAGGGAAAAAAUUAAAAGGAUAAAAGGAAACUAGAGAAGUAGGAUCAUAUCCAAUUUCUAUCCGACAUCGAGUAAAUCUUUUAGAGAUGAUUUAAAUACGCGAUUAAAUAUUGGAAGUGACAAGAUUGAUUAUACCUGUAAGACUGGGUCAAAAAAAGAAGCUAGACUAUGCUGAAUUUACUGUCAAUGACUGUAAAUCAACCUAUAAGACAUAUACAUAAAACAAAAAUAAUCAAAAAGUUAUUGAUGAGUGAUUUGUUUGUUAGUUCAGUAUGAAGUAACCCAAAAUCUCCAUAUAGAUUGUCUUCAAUUAUAAAAUAAGGUAAGAUAAAAGAGUUAUUGCUUGUGGUUGAGAAAUUACGAGUUCAACUUAUGAGAAAAAGGCUAUUACUGAAAAUGUAUGAUAAUGACAUGUACACAUAGACUUAAUAUGUUGUUUAGGGGUGGCAAAGUAUUAACUAAUUCAUGAAAACACAAACCAUCACCACCACUCAACUCCAACGUGUUAAAAUUUGAACAGGUUAAUGAACUGUCUAUUUAUUAAAGUGAACUGGUUUAGGAGAUUAGUUUUAAAUAUAUAUAUAUAUAUAUAUAUAUAUUUAAAACUAAUCUCCUAAACCAGUUCACUUUAAUAAAUAGACAGUUCAUUAACCUGUUCAAAUUUUAACACGUUGGAGUUGAGUGGUGGUGAUGGUUUGUGUUUUCAUGAAUUAGUUAAUACUUUGCCACCCCUAAACAACAUAUUAAGUCUAUGUGUACAUGUCAUUAUCAUACAUUUUCAGUAAUAGCCUUUUUCUCAUAAGUUGAACUCGUAAUUUCUCAACCACAAGCAAUAACUCUUUUAUCUUACCUUAUUUUAUAAUUGAAGACAAUCUAUAUGGAGAUUUUGGGUUACUUCAUACUGAACUAACAAACAAAUCACUCAUCAAUAACUUUUUGAUUAUUUUUGUUUUAUGUAUAUGUCUUAUAGGUUGAUUUACAGUCAUUGACAGUAAAUUCAGCAUAGUCUAGCUUCUUUUUUUGACCCAGUCUUACAGGUAUAAUCAAUCUUGUCACUUCCAAUAUUUAAUCGCGUAUUUAAAUCAUCUCUAAAAGAUUUACAUUACAUAACAUAGUAACAAAAUUUAAGGUGUUUUUAGCCCGAUUAUAAUGUACUAGAGAAUUAUAUCCCAAAUAAGUCUCAAAUUGGCUAUUUGUGCACUUCUCCUUUCGAGUGGACCGGAUUAGCCAAGAUCCAAAUGAUUUGGCCCAAAUUAGAAUGAGAUAUGUACAUCUUUGUUCAUCUUUAUUUUUCCAUAUUUGAUGAUAUACAUCUUAAACAUAAUAAAUAAUGAAUAAUUUUACUAUAUUAUUCUUUUUAAUUAUAAGUCAUUUAAAUAUUGGAGAAAUAAAUAGUACAAAAUAAUAAAUUAUCUCUUGAUUUUUAUAAUUGAACAACUUUUUUAAUGCCCCUCUUUUAUAUUAAUCUCUUGUAUCCAUUUAAAGUUUAUAUUUAAAUACAUAAACAACUAUUUAUUUAUAAAAUUAAAUUUUAACACUUCAAAGUAUUUUCCAUCACUUGACUACUUUGUUUCCACUAAUAUAAAUAGCUUUUUAUUCACCUACAAAAUUUGACAAUAGAAAAUUAAAAAAAAUUCAACUUCAAUUUACGCACAAAUCAAUUCAAACUAUUGUUGAUUAUAGUAAGACUCAUACUCAAUUAAACUUAGCUUAAUCAUUAUUUUUCUCAUAUAUAUGACAAUAAUUACAAUCAAGGCAUCAUUCUCGUUAAGAAAACAAUCAAUAUCAUUUUAAUUCUAAAUUGGUCAUGAUUUAUGUUUAAACUAUAUGAUGAUCUUCACCAUCAUUUUGUAAUAAUACUCCUAUUAACUUCAAAUACUCAAAAUAAGGAAGAAAAAAAAGAAUAAAAUAAUUUCUUAAACAAUCAAAGAGGGAGAAAGGAAGUCGGGGAUAAUCUCGUGUUUGAAUCCUAAUCAUGAAAGAGUAUCUUUGUAAGGAAAUAUUUUAGAUUUUCAACGCGAAUUCAAAUAUAAUCAGAUGAGCUUUAAGUACGGAGUAUAUUCGUUAAGAAAUGUUUUAGAUUUUUCGAAGCGAACUCAAAUAUAAUUAGACCUCGAGAGAAAUGAUCUUCUACUUGAGCUCUAAGUACACAAUAUCUUUGUUUUCUUAACAUUUUAGAUUUUUCGACGUGAAUUCAAAUUUAGUCGAGCCUCAAAAGAAAUAAACCCGUAUUCGAGUUCUGAGUAUGAAAUAUCUUUAUUAAGAAACAUUUAAGAUUUAAUCAAACAUCAAGAGAAAUGAUCUCUAUUCAAAUUCUGACUAUAAAAUAUCUUUGUUAAGAAAUAUUUUAGAUCUUUCGACGUGAAUUCAAAUUCAGUCAAACCUAAGAAAGAAAUAAUCUAGUUCUGAACUCAUAUCGAGCUCUAAUAUAGAAUAUUUUUAUUAAGAUACCGAACACCGAGUGAAAAAGGGAAAAAAAACAAGAGAAAGAGGGGGGAGACAAUAGAGGGUGCAUCCUUUCUAUUAAAGUAAAAAAAUUAAUACACUUGCUUUCAGUGUCCUUUCUUUCUCAGAUUCUCUUCUAUACUAUUUUUCUCUCCAUGUAUAAAUAGAGAGACCCGUCAUUCUUCUUCAAUCUUUUUUGCAGAUUCUCAUUUCAGCAGCAGCAGCAGCAGGUUCACAUAAUUUUGGUAUUUUCUUGUGCUAUUUGCUUAUAGUUUUAUCAGAUUCAGCGAUAAAAAGGGUUCUUUUAUGUGUUUUCCUUUUUUGUUUUCAAGUUUUGUUCUUACCCAGAUCGUGAAAUCGAUUGAAUUAACGAUGGUUGCUCUUUAAUUUGAACCCCUUUUGAUAAAUUUGUUGAUUUUGAAGAAUUUUGUCCAGAAAUUAUGUUUCUUGGCGGCGUGUUUGAUCUUACUUGAUGGUCUGUCUUAUUUGUUUUUAGUUGGAAUUGACUGAAUUUGUUGUUGUUGUUAAAAUUUUAAGUUUGGGUAGUGGAAAAGUGCUAGUAGAGAGAACCUCUCAAAAAAAGAUUAUUUUUUUAGCAUUAUUAGAUGCUGGUUGCUUAUUGAUAUGUUGUUCGGACUUUACAAAAAUGGUGCUGUCAGAUUCUCAAAAAGCAGUGCAUUUUUGGAGGAUUGUGACACGGGUGUGGCAUUAAUUGCUCUAGUUUUGUUAAAGCUGAAGUCUUUUCGUGCGUCUUUCCAAAAUAACGUCACAUUCGCGGGAAGCUACAAUUGCGACAUUAUUUUUGAAGAACCUGAGCAACCUAGCCAGUUUGUGAUCUUAACUUCAAUAAGUGUUUGAAGCUACAAUUGUUGUUUCCUAGUUUAAUUGCUCUAGUUUUGUUAAAGCUCAAGUAUUUUAUUGUGUCUUUCCAAAAUAAUUGCACACCUUUGGGAAGUUACAAUUGUGGCAUUAUUUUUGGAGAAUCUGAGCGACAUAGCCUGUUUGUGAUCUUAUUUUUGAGUCUGAAUAAGUGUUUGAAGCUACAAUUGUUGUUCCUAGUUUAAUUGCUCUAGCCUCUAGUUUUUUUAAAGCUCAAGUAUUUUCUUGUGUCUUUCCAAAAUAAUGCUGCUAUAUAAUAAAACAGAAAAGGGCUAGCUUGAUUAUGCUGAAUUUUACUUUUGAUUUGCGGAAUUGUCCCAAGCUAGAGUUUGGUGCAGGGUUGUUCUAUGCAUAUAUCUGUUAAGAUAUCUAUGUUUAGUUAUGGCUGAGAAUAGGUUCAGCGAUAGUACCCGCGGUUGGAAAAAUUAGUGUUAUUUCAAAACAGAAUAUUCAUUAUUAAAUACUCUUAUUGUCCAUAACCAGAGGUGAAUUUAUAGCCUAAAAAUGGGGCAUGUGAACUCGUGCUCUUUCCGUAGAACUAGGUAUUUUAUGUAUACAUUGUCUAAGGUCACAAGAAGGCUAAAUGGUGCACUUGGUUGAGUGUUGAGUUAUUUAUCUAGAGGACUAGGGAUCAAUUCCUACUUAAUACAAAUUUUCGUUCUUCUUUUUAGGGGUGCACCAUGUUCUAGAAAUCCUAGAUUCGCCUUUGUCCAUAACGUACAACUUGAAUUCUAUUAUGUAAAUUGAUUUUUGGCCAGUGAAUGACUAUUAUUAUGAGAUAAUAUUUCUAGUGAAUCCUGUAUCGUAUUCCAUCUAUUAAAGUCCUUGAAUAGCCUUCAAUUGACUUGAAUGACAUUUUACAAUAUUCAAAUGGUUACACUUCCCAAAAGUGUGCCAUUGUCCAUUAUAUUUUGUUGUCAGAUGUUAGCAUCUUUUCCCUUCUUUACUCCUAUAUAUUCUCUACUAGAAGAGCUUAUUGAAUCGUAGGGGACAAUGUCUUUGACAUGCCUCAAGCUUUCAAGAGUUCUCGACAGGUUUCGUGACCAAGUAUUUUCCAAAAGAUUCCAACACCAAUUCCAAAGCUUAAAUGGUAGUGAAAAAGAAAUACAAAAAGUUGAAGUUUUUUUUUCCUGCUUUAAAGCUCAGAAGAGUUAUUGGAACAUGUCGCAGAAACAUUGGCUAGUUAUAAAGAAAUGAUUUUUAUAUUCUUUAUUCAUAUUAGCACAGGAGGGUAGUCGAUUCAGAAGACUUACAAUCUCUAGAUUUCAGAUUUAACAAGUGCAACCGAAUAUGUUAGAAGUAAAAGAUCCAUUCAAGUGAUACCAACUAGCUGAGAUUAAAAUAUUAGUGUGUGUGAGGAAUCCUUUUAUCUUGAUUAGAGACUUGUAUAUCUCUAUAAGAAUAAAUGUGAAAUUUGAAGAACCUUUAGUUCAAGAGAACUUCUAAUUUGCUUUAUUAUUCAAUAUUGAAUGAACUUGAAUAGCAUGUAAUGAUACAGAGAUUCAUAUUUUCGAACCCAAAUACUUUGGGGCAGAGGCUCAGUUGACAACUGCAGGAAUUUUUAUGUACUUAGAUGUUGUUAUUUGUACUUAUAAAUGAAAAAGAUGGAGAAGAUUCAUUUUUCAUGUAUUUCAUCUCGUAGUUCUUAUUAUGGUUCAACGUGUCAUUUUGCUUUUGUAGGGACCAUGAUUAAGCUAUUUAAAGUAAAGGAGAAACAGAGAGAGCUUGCUGAAAAUGCUAAUGGAAAGCCUCCAAUUAAGAAACAAAGUGCAGGAGAGCUGCGUCUUCAUAAAGGUAUUUCCUUUUCUCUUUCUUCGUAAAAUCUUUCAAAUCAAAUAAGUACUUAAUCAUUUCGUUUCAUGCAAAGUAAUUUCUUCUUUCUUUUGGCAUGCCAAAUUGGUCAAUUUAGAUUUGAUUAGCUAGGGUUUCAUUUCAGUUGUGUGCUUACCCUUUAGAGAUCUUCCAUGUAAAGUUUCAGAUGAAAUAGUGCACUCUGAUUAUAAUUUGAGACAUGAGAAGUUGUGGUUCAUGACAUGAACCAGUUUUCUCCUCUUUGGUACCAUGGGAACACGUGGCAGUGUGUAGUAAAUGUAGAAUUUUCCAAAUGUAAGAUGAUCCUGAAAAAGGUCAUAGGUUAUCUCGGUAGGCCAGUGUUGUCAAAGGCGUGCUUAUGCCCUGAAGUGAGGCGCAAAAUAUGUUGAGCGCUUCGCCUCGCUUAAUGUGCGAUUCAAGACUCUAAGAUAUACUUUUUUUCUCAUGAAAGUUUCCUGAAGAGGUGAUACUAAACGAUUAAUAUUUUACUUCAUUGUACAUUUUUUUUUUUCAAUUCUUUGUUCAUAUAUUUGAUGUUCAUACUUAUAAUUGUUAGUCUCGAAUCAAACAUAUAUAUUUUUACUUUUCUCCAUUGUGUCGUUUUUCAUUAAAGCUUACACUUUACUUGCGCUUUGCACUUAAAGCCCCAAGUCCCAACAGAGCUUAGAGAAUUUUUGUGCUUUUCGCUUUUGAUAACACUGUGGUAUGCUGAAAAAAUUGUAAGAGAGAAUGUAGUGCUUCCUGAUAAAAAAAAAAGUAAAAAAACUAGAAAAUGUAGUACUUUACUGGAGGGGGUGGGAGUUGUUGAUCUCAGGUAUUUCCCAAACAGUGCGUCCACCAGCUACAACUACAAGUUUACAGGCCCAUGCUGUGUAUUGCUAGAAUCCAACGUGUGUGUCAAAGUGGAUCCCCCUUAAGGUGGUUCUUUGUGACAGUGAAGGUAAGAAGUGGGAGGUUGGACCGUUGGAGGAGGGUUAGUGUAAAUGGAGGCCAGAAGGCAGUGAAAUUUGGAGUCCCCCCCAAUUUCAUAUUUCAUCAUUCACGGGUUUCCCCAAAUCUCCCAUAUAUUGCUGUAGAGAUUUGAUGUGAUUUAUUGUCAUUUCUAUGUUGACUCCUUUUACUCGUAUAGAGGCGAAAAUUGUGUUAUGUUUGACCAUCCACUGUUGAAGAUUGAUGUUGCUUGAACAUCUAUAUGUGACAGCUAACAUAUAUUGAGAGUGAAAAGUGAAGAUUGUUGUUGCUUGAAUCUUGAUGCAAAGCACUUUCUAGUGAAGGGGUUUUCUUCGUCUUUCUUUUGAUUGAUGAACUUUUUGACGGAAGUUCAUGAAUGAUUGUAUCAGUUCCUUCCUUCACUGCCUCAUUUUCGGAUUCAUCAUAGAAUGUUUCCCCUUAUAAUAAAGAAUCUAUACAAAAGGGAUUCAUUUAUUUUUCUUUGUUCUGAGUGGUUCUUUUCUCCGACUAUUUAUUUGUCUUCUAUUUUUUUCCACACUAAUGAAAUUGUGAGAUGGCCUUAACGUUUUUCUUGUUCCCUGUAGAUAUCAGUGAACUAAAUCUACCUAAAACGUGUAGCAUAUCAUUCCCUAACGGAAAAGAUGACCUCAUGAACUUUGAAGUCACCAUUCGGCCUGAUGACGGAUAUUAUAUGUAAGUAGUUUUGCUGAAACUAUUCUCUCUCUUUAAUGGAGUAUAUUCCUGAAAAAAGCUUACUUCGACAUGGAUAUACCUUUCUGCUUUCGUAUUUUAUGGAAAAUUGGUGCGCUUCAAGUUAGCUUUCCUCGGUGCUGAUAACAUACAUUGUAUUAUUUGUUCGUAUUCAGGGGUGGAACUUUUGUCUUCUCUUUCAGCAUUUCUUCUAUUUAUCCUCAUGAGGCUCCAAAAGUCAAGUGCAAGACGAAGGUGGGUAAUGGUUUAUAGCUUUUUCUAUUCGACUCUUUUAAUUUCUUGAUGAAUGAAUUUAGAUUCCAAUUGUUUUAUCCAUUAGCUCUGGAAACUCGGAUUUUGCAGGUUUACCACCCGAAUAUUGACUUGGAAGGAAAUGUAUGUCUCAACAUUCUUCGAGAAGACUGGAAACCUGUGCUCAACAUCAACACAGUAAUCUAUGGCUUGUAUCAUCUGUUCACGGUACUUUAACUUCCUUCUAGUUUGAUGUAGUUUACACUACUCUAAGUAGUUGGUAGUUUAUAACUUCCGAUUCUGCAGGAACCCAAUCACGAGGAUCCCCUCAAUCAUGAAGCAGCUGCUGUGUUGAGUGACAACCCGAGCAUGUUCGAGUCUAAUGUCAGAAGGGCAAUGUCUGGAGGAUAUGUAGGGCAAACGUACUUCCAACGCUGCAUGUAAUGUCUCAAAUGCAGAAUCAAUUAGUUGAUGAUGAUGAUGCCGAUGCCGGAAGUUGAAGGCUCUCAAAGUCUGUAAAGUUGGACCAGAAAGAACCAUUUCUACAUGUGGUCAUUGUGAAAAAGAUUGAGUGCAAAAUGUUAUUAGAUACAUGCAAAACUUAAAACCUGCAGAAAGUUUUCUGUAUGAUUUAGAGUGUAAACUUUGCAACAACUCAUGCAAGAAGGACUGAAGGUGGUAGAGAUCUCUGCUUGGAUGAAUUUAUGUACAAUUUGAAUUUAUGUUUUUGUCUAUCUUGCACUUCGAUUAUUGUAUUAUUUUGUGGUAGUAACUUUUUAUAUGACAAUGUCAUGCUAUCUAUAACAUUUUGUCUUAGCUUCUACACUCCGUUGUUGCUCUUUUCCAAACUACUGUGUUGUUUUUAUUUGAGUCGAGAGUCUAUUGGAAACUACCUUUCUUUAGAUCUUGUAGGGGUAAUGUCUGUGUAUUUGCUAUCCUUUUCAGACCCUAUCAUCGUGCAUUUCGAUUAUCUAAUUAUUUUAUAAUAGUCAAUGUUACAUUUUUAAUAUGCAUUGCCAUCCUUUCUUUAACAUUUUGUGUUGGCUUCUUUACUCUGUUGUUUUUACUUGAGUUGAGAGUCUAUCGGAAACCACCUCUCUUUAUCUUGUAGGGGUAAAGUUUGUGUACUCGCUAUUCUUUUCAUAUCCUACCUAUAUUCAUUUGAAGAAAAAAAAGAAAAAUAUUGAUUUCCUCAGCAAAUAAUUGAUUAUUUCCUACGUGGCAAAUUUCUAUUGGCUGGUUGACUGAAUUUUAAUUAAUAAUUAAAAGAGACAACUCUGCUAACAAAUCAUUUUGCAGAAGAAAGAGAAAAAAAAAAGUGAAAUAAAGAAGAAUUGUUCCCCACCCACAAGGCCAUAAUCCCACAACAUGUGCUUGGUUUUGUACAAUUACUUAAAUAAUCUUACUAUAUUUAUUAUUAUAUCUGUAUGACUUUUGAUUUGAUUAAAAAUGAAAUUCGAAAUAAUAAUUUGACUUAUAUAUUAUGUUAAUCUCAAUUUAUAUACACUACCUUUAUUUGUGAUGUUUAAAAGUUAAAGCGAAUUUAAAUAACAUAUUUAUAUAUUAUGUCUUUGAUAAAUUAAGGAUUGUUUAGUGGUUGAUUAGAGUUAUGCAAGUAUUAAUAAUAUAAAGGUCAAUUAUGUAGAUUUAAUUAUUCAUGUAGUUAGUUAUUUAAUUUUCUAUCCAACAUAAAGUGAUAAGUAACUUAUACAUGUAUUAAUUAUGCGAGAUUGUAAAAUUGGUAACCGAAUAAAUCACUUGGUAUACUGAAUUUUAUACAUUACAACUAAAGUUCUACUUAAUAUGGUACUAGUUAUCAUGAGUUUGAUACAUAAAUAAUUCACUUCUUAUUAAUCACACGAUCCUUUUAGUGAUACAUUAAUAAUUCACUUCCUAACCAACAAUCAUACGACCCCUUAGGGUUGUUUGGUAGUUGGUCAGAAUUAUACAGAUUUAAUUAUGCUUAUAUUAAUUAUGCGGUAUUAAUUAUUUUGUCUUCUCAUCCACAUAAAAUAAUACACAAAUUUCAUUAGAAUCAAUGCAUGUAUUAGUCAUGCAGGUUUUAAAAUUACAAAUCAAAUAUCUUAUUAAUUUUAUACAUGAAUAAUUUUUAUAACUUAUUAAAAAAAUUAAUAAGUGAAUAAGUUGUUUCUUUACUAGCUACCAAACGACCCUUUGUUUAUUACAAACUAUAUAUAUACACACACUAUAUACUAUAUCUUUUUUUUUAUUUCCCAUUUGAUAUCAGUUUGACUAUUUCAAAUUCUUGUUAGGUAGGACCCCAUGCGAUUUGCGUUGAAUAGAAUUCCAUUCAGAGCAUAGCAGUCAGAGCAAUGCCAUCCACGGUACUACAUCCAUACUAUUUCGGAUUCCCGUUAAAUAGGUGCCAUUCGAUUCACACCGAGUAGUAUUUCAUUCGGAGAAUAGCAGUCAGAGCAACCCCAUCUAUGAUACCACAUACUUAUUAUUUUAAAUUAGCGUUCGAUAGGACGUUAUUCGAUUCGCACUGAGUAGGAUUCAUUUUGGAGGAUAGUAGUCAGAGCAACCCCAUCCACGAUACUAUAUCCUAACGGUUUUGAAUUCACAUUAAGUAGUACUCCAUUCGAUUCACGCUGAGUAGGAUGGAGCAACCUCAUCCACGAUACCCCGAAUGCGUAUGUGUACACAACACAUACAAGACAACACCACUACCUAUAGAGAGAAACAUCAAAGAUUCUUCUUUGCUUUGUUGAACGUCUUUCUCGUGAGUAUAGUCUCAGACGUGUGUCUGCAACACCCCCCCACCGCCCCACGCCACCCUACCCCCACCUGGGACCACUCCAUUUUCUCUUCUUCUCAUAUACACACACACAGAGACAGAGAGAGAAAGAGAAAGCGCGCGUGUGUGAGAGAGAAAAAGAGAACAACAACAACAAAAUCAUGAUGUGGGAAGCUGGAGAAUCACCAGCAUCUUCCUCCGCCGGUGCCGGAGCCGGUGGAAGUGGAGGUGCCGGAGUUGGUAUACCGGAAAGUGGUGGUGGUGGGAGGAGGAAACCAUCAUGGAGAGAAAGAGAGAAUAACAGGAGAAGAGAGAGAAGGAGGAGAGCUGUAGCUGCUAAGAUUUAUACUGGUUUAAGAGCUCAAGGAAACUAUAAUCUUCCUAAACACUGUGAUAACAAUGAAGUUCUUAAAGCUCUUUGUACUGAAGCUGGUUGGAUCGUUGAACCUGAUGGUACCACUUAUCGCAAGGUUUUUUCGAUUUUUCCCUCUUCAAUUUGCUUCAAUUGAUUGAUUGUUAGGUUAAUUUCUGUGUUUUUGGUGAACACCAUUAAUGGGUUUUGCUUGGAUUUGCUUAGAUCUACAGGUUUUGUUCUUUUUGGAUCUAGAUUGUUUUUUCAGUGCACCUAUUUUGAUGGAUUUUAGUACAUAUGAACAUCAAUUUUAAGUUGCUAAGCUUCUGGAUUUGCUGAAUUUCUUUGUUUUGAUCUGUUCAUUGUUCUUGUGUGUUGGCUAUUUUGAGAAAUUAGAGUGAUCUAGUGUACAGUUUUGUUAGAAAAUGGGAGGGGUUUUAGAGGGAAAUGAUUGAACUUUCCAGUUCAAUUGUUGUUAAUUUGGUAGUGGAUAAAGGGUCCUUUUUUGGAGCUUUUGGGGGUGGAGUUGGAUGCUUUUUGAGUUUCGCCUUAGGCUAUGUUGCUUGGACUCUUCAAAACCGUCCGUGUUGGAUCCUCCAAGAUUAGUGCAUUUUUGUAGGAUCUGCACAGGUACGACAUUGGAGAGUCCGAGCAACAUAGGCUAAGGCGUUAGUAUCCAGCUCCACCCCAAAAGCUCCAAAUAAAAGGACCCUGUUUUUCGCUACCAAAUUAACAACAAUUGAACUGGAAAGUUCAAGCAUUUCCCCCCUAUGAGUGUGUGUCAGAUCCUCCAAGAUUAAUGCAUUUUUGGAGUAUCCGCCUAGGUAUGACAUUGGUGAGUCCGAGCAACAUGGCCUUUGGUGUUUUUUUUUUCUUUCUGUAGUGAAUGCUUGCCCUGAUUCCAAAUUUGUUAUCUGUUGAGGUUUCUUUUAUUAGCUCAAUUGCCCGCGCUUUUCUCUCUGAAAACUCAAAUUUUGAGAACUUUUGUGUUAAUGUUUUCUGUGUUGUCGAUAUUAAUUGUGUGGUUUGGGAUUUAGAACUUAAACAAUAAGCAAUGUUUGACGUGAAGACAUUUGCUGUUAGGAUAAUACGAUCUUCCCGUUGGGUUGAGCGUUGGAGUAAUUUCCUGUCUUGCCAUGUUAUCCUGCAAAUUUGCUCUCUGAAACUCUAAUAUCACUAACGUUUAUAUUGGUAAUCUAUCCUGAGUGUGUGGCUUGGUAUUAGUAACUUAAUGCAAAACUUGGGAUCUGUUUAAGGUUAUUAUAAUCUCGUUUAGGUGCAGAAAAUUUGGUACUGACUUCUUUCUUCUAUUGUGUGAUUCAGGGAUGCAAGCCAACCCCGAUGGAGAUUGGAGGCACUUCAACAAACAUCACACCAAGUUCUUCACGGCAUCCAAGUCCCCCAUCAUCAUACUUUGCUAGUCCAAUUCCGUCUUAUCAGCCGAGUCCAACUUCCUCUUCUUUCCCCAGUCCAUCCCGUGCUGAUGCUAACAUGUCAUCACACCCAUAUUCUUUUCUCCAUAAUGUCAUUCCUUCAUCCCUUCCUCCAUUACGAAUAUCAAACAGUGCCCCUGUAACUCCACCUCUUUCAUCACCAACUAGGCAUCCUAAGCAAACAUUCAAUUUAGAGACUUUGGCCAAAGAAUCAAUGUUUGCUUUAAACAUCCCUUUCUUUGCUGCUUCAGCCCCAGCAAGCCCAACUAGGGGUCAGCGUUUUACUCCUCCAACUAUACCCGAGUGUGAUGAAUCUGACUCAUCUACCAUUGAUUCAGGCCAGUGGAUCAACUUUCAAAAGUACGCGGCAAAUGUUCCACCUUCUCCAACAUUUAAUCUUGUAAAACCUGUGCCUCAGCCACUUCGUCCUAAUGAUAUGAUCACAGACAAGGGUAAGAGCAUAGACUUCGACUUUGAAAAUGUAUCAGUCAAGGCAUGGGAAGGGGAAAGGAUUCACGAUGUAGGAUUCGAUGAUCUGGAACUCACACUUGGAAGUGGCAAUGCUCGCAUAUGAUUGAGAUUCUCUGAUUUAGUUAGCUGAUGAAUCACUUUGCAUUCCAGUGGAUUAUUUGAGCCUCAUCUGGUGAGAUAUUGCACAAACGUAGAGCUUGCAUAAAUUGCUUCUUAGGAUGGAUUGGAUUUUCUCUGUUGCUAUUUACCUUAUGUAUAACAUUCUUUCCCCUUAUUUGCUGCAAAUCCCCCUUCAAAAUUUAUACAGGUCUUAUCACAAGCAUUUCGUGUAGAUAUAUGCUUGCUUCUAUGGUCGAGAAUCACUUUCUUCAUUGUAGACUAGAUGGAGCUUCUUCACAAAUAUGAACUAUCCACAUUUGUCUAUUAUCAGAACUAGCUUCAAUUGAAGUCGUUGAUGUACCUUACAGUCUCUCUGAUGUUUUUCGUGCACAUCAUGAAGACAUGAAACGCGUUAAAGUUUAUACAUUCGAGAUUUUGUGUUGUGUCUAGUUGAAGAUAUUCUUGCUGUAUUUUGGCCUAAUAGCAAGAUGCAGGGUAAUGGAUCUUGUUAUCAGAUUGUAAGGAUUGGGCUUUUGAUAAGAAUGGACAACCAAAUGGUUGUGUUUCAUUCCAAUUUUGUGAUGUCUCUAAAGACACUGACUAAAAAUGACUAUAUUCACCGGAAGGUACAAGUAGCACACAUCGAAAAUAAAAUGAGAAAACGUCACUUGAGAUGGUUUGACAAUGUCCUGAGUCGAGACCUAAAAUCACAUGGAAGGAAGGAGUUGUCUCGAAAGACCUAUAAUCUUUUGAAAGACAUGUAGACUCAAUGAAAGGCAGGACACAAUCAAAGAUAGUUAUGUCAACUACUAUUUGUUAGUGUACAAAGCAAAUUUUAUCGUUAUUUAUUUAAGACUGAAGCGUAAUUAAUGUUAUUAUAAUUAUCAAGUUAGUUCAUACUCACUUAUUAAAGUCAAGGUUUAGAAAAAAAUCUGACAAAACAUUGUUAGAUGACAACAAAAAAAAAGAAUUUCAUUCAGAAAAUCUUUUCGAAAUAAAACACAAUUACAAUAGAAUUAAUCCAAGACCAACAAUACCAAGUCCCAAUUAUUAUUUGGUGACUUCACAUGUAUUUUUUCCUUCCCUCACUACUGGUAAAACUAACAAAAAAUAAAAUGAAAAAACAAUAAAAAUACGUUUUAAUAAUAUUGAAAUUCUUGCAUCCAUAAUUGCCCAAUUUUUUGCAUGAAAAAACUUUUCACAAGAAAUGCAAAUUCCUUGUAACACAAAAAACCACAUUACUUCACAUGUUGGUUUUAAACAUAAACUACAUGUAAUAUAAUAAAACAUUAGUUCAUGCAUUAUAGCUGAAACCACAAAUGUACUCACAAUUGCUAAUAAAUUUCUUGUAUUUUUACCCAAAAAACUCAAAUUCUUCAAAGCUUCAUUUGUUGGAUCAUAAAUUGUUAAUCUCAACAUUUUCGAUGAAUAUCGAUUCCAUCUCCUUCCCCAGAAAUCUCGAAAAGAUGUAGCUAAAUAUGGUUGUUUAAAAAUCUCCUCCAUCUCAUACCUUUUGAAAAUAUUUAUGUCAAAAAUCUCAUAUUUCUGACUAACAUCCCUUGGAGUUUUUAGGUCAGAAAUUUUUCUGAUGGAAUUUUCUUCAGAAAUCUCAUAUUCUCGAUCCACAAUUUUUUCGUCAUAAAUUGGUUUGUUGGAAGUAUUUCUGACAGACUUUUCAUCGAAAAUCUCAUAUUUCGAAAUUUUGAGUGGGAAAAUGGAAAUGACUAUAAAGUCAAUAGGAUUUUUGCAAAGGGAAAGAGGGCCUUUGUUGAAACAAAAGAGAAUGAGUUUGAAAGAAGUAAUCCAUGUAAUGAAAAAAGACAAAAUGCCUCUAAGAAAUGCAAAUGAGAAACACCAAGGGAAAAAAUACAAAAUGUAAAAAAUUGGUGAAAGUGCAAUUAUUCUUGGAAUGCCUUUUGGGAAUUUUGGAAUUAAGAAAUAAGAAUAAUUUAAUGAUAAAAGUAGAAGGAAAAGUCCUAUGAAAGGAUUUUCCAAGAAUUUGAUGAUCACAAUGUUGUAAUAUUCCAUUUUUUGGUUUAAUAGAGAAUUCUACUUGAAGUUAUAUAGAGUUCAACGUUUAGGGUUUUUAGCAUUAAGGGUGUGGUUGGUAUGAAGGAAAAAUAGUUGAAUUUCUUAUGCUCGGUACAUAAAUAAAAAUUAUUAUUAUUAAAGUUUUUGUAUAUAAUCCAGACAAAUAUCCUUAUUACAUCUUAAGGAAAUUAUCUUACAUGUUGUCAUUUUUUUUUAAUGUCGGAGAGGCAGUGCUCAGUCUCCUAAUCUAGUAUUAGUUAAUAUUUACAUAAUAUACCUUAUUAUUCGUUUUUUCACUAUUAUAUUGUUAUAUACGUAAUUUUAUUUUCCUUAUUUAUCUUGUUAUUCUACCAUUGUUAUUUUCCUUUCAAUUUAGAUUUGAUUACACUUCUUUUGAGCUAAGGAUCUAUUGGAAACACCCACUCUACGCCCACAAAGAUAGAGACAAAGGACGGUAUAUGUACGUCCUAUUUUUUGAGAUUCAACUUAUAAAACUACACUAGAUAUAUUUUUAUUAUUGUAACACAUAAACAUCCUACAAUGUUUAAUAACCUUACCUAACUUCUAUUUUUUCAUUUAUUUCAAUAGUUCAAUGUAUUAAAAGCUAACUAUGCACAUUUAUGAAUAUUUAAACCAGUUAGUUGAGAAGCCAAAAUUCAGGCUUUAUUCUAUUAUAUGAUUUUAUAUGAUCUAAUUAAUCGACUAGAGAAAAAGCUAUACGUCUAGUAGAACACGAUAAUUUUGGUCAAAAUCGUAAACUCGUGUUAAGGAAUCCACUUAAUAUAUUUAACAUAAUUUAUCAAAACUCAAUAAUUUAUUCUUUUUAUGAUUCACAAUUCAUUAACUCGCGAUUCUUAUUCUGCCUCUAUGAUAAAAUGAGAUUUAACUUGAAACGAAAAAAGCAUAUCAUCAGGAGUGUGUAUAUAUAUAUAUUAUUAUUUAUUAUUAUAUUAUAAGUAGAAAGGUGCUUAGUCUAAAGUUGGAUUACGAAAAUGCCCUUCAACUUUUUUAUUAUCAUUAUCAUAUUAUUAUUAUGUAACUUGUCAAAACUUCAACGGGCCUGGUUCAAACAAGUUCAUGGGCUGAAAAAACACGGACCAGCUAAGGUCCAUUAUUUGUGCCCCGGCCCGGGGCCAGGCCCAAUUUUGUCUUCUAGGCCUUUUUUGGUGGGUCAACCCGGUCCGAUAGGCUAAGUUCGGAAGAAUCUUUGAUACCAGUUACUGCUUAAAUUCCAUAAACUUCAAACAUGCCAUGUCUAAAGUUAGGUUUUACAAGAAUGUGUGAAGUUUAAUAUGCCGAUUAGAAAUAGCUGAACUUCAAUCAUAUAUGUACAUGAACUUGAGUUCAUGUUGAAAUGCUUGAAGUUUCAACAAACAUCAAACAUACCAUGUUCGAAGUUUAACAUGACAAACAAAAUGCUUAAACUUUAGUCAUAUGUGCAUGAAUUUCAAGUUGAAAUGCUUGAACUUUAGUCAUAUGAAAUGUUCAAACACCGCAUGUCCCCCCCCCCCCCCCCCCCCCCCCCCUCUUCCAUACACUNNNNNNNNNNNNNNNNNNNNNNNNNNNNNNNNNNNNNNNNNNNNNNNNNNNNNNNNNNNNNNNNNNNNNNNNNNNNNNNNNNNNNNNNNNNNNNNNNNNNNNNNNNNNNNNNNNNNNNNNNNNNNNNNNNNNNNNNNNNNNNNNNNNNNNNNNNNNNNNNNNNNNNNNNNNNNNNNNNNNNNNNNNNNNNNNNNNNNNNNNNNNNNNNNNNNNNNNNNNNNNNNNNNNNNNNNNNNNNNNNNNNNNNNNNNNNNNNNNNNNNNNNNNNNNNNNNNNNNNNNNNNNNNNNNNNNNNNNNNNNNNNNNNNNNNNNNNNNNNNNNNNNNNNNNNNNNNNNNNNNNNNNNNNNNNNNNNNNNNNNNNNNNNNNNNNNNNNNNNNNNNNNNNNNNNNNNNNNNNNNNNNNNNNNNNNNNNNNNNCCCCCCCCCCCCCCCUCAUUAUAUACUAACCAAUUUCAAUUCUUUUUUUUUCUUUUGUUAAUCAUGGUGUCCAGACCAAUUUGAGCACACCCCGACUAAUUUCACUGGAUACUUGACACCUCUUACUAGCAAUAGUUAUUAGGCAACUCCGCUUACCACAACUAGGACAUAUACGAAAAAAAUUACCUCACGAUUUUGAUCUUUGCUAAAAUUUGAACCUGAGACCUCAUAAUUCUUAAUCGACUUCAUUGAUCACUAGGUCAUACCCCUUCAUACAAAACAAUUUGAAUUCAUAUUGUGAUGCAUAAACAUUUGCCUUGUGAUUGGCAUAAGCAUUAUAUACAUAUGCCUUUUGAAUCCACAUUCUUUGAUAUGUAAGCUUAGUUGUUCAUCCUUCUAGCUAAAAAGACCCUAUCAAAAUUCAAAAACUAGUCCCACAAGCAUCUCCAUUUCAAUACAACAACUCACUUCUAAUUGUUGACAAACUUGCUCAAAAAAACCAUAUUACAUACACUGAAAUCAUGUCAUGUUACAAACACUACCACUUCCUAAGCAUCAUGACCUGAAUAACAACAUUUUCUGUUCCAACAGAUUCAUUGAAAAGUGUCUAUUAUCUUUUACCUUUCCUUCAGAGACCUGUUGCUAGACUUUCUUAACUCCCAAGAUGGUAAGCAGCCUUUCAAAGGUGAUUGUAGAAAUAACGAAGAUGUCGAUAACUGUCUUUGUCUUGUUGAGAUUGAAGAAAGACAGCUGAAUGCACUUCUUAGCCUUCUUCUUUCAGUAAUAUAUUCUGGGCCAUUAGGGUCAUGUUCUACAGCGGCAACUUUCAGAGCCUCGGGUAGCAUGCAGUUGAAUGAUGAACCUACGUACACGGAAAAGGAGAAAAUGAGGCAUAUCAUACAAAAUCCUUAAUAAGCUCGAAAACCAUGAGAUAACCAGACAAAAUUUUCCUUUUCAGAACUUUUAUACGGGUGGAGGGGGCGUGAUGGGGUGGGGUGUGGGAUUGAGGGUAGGAAGAAGACAAUCAACGUGGAAUGUCAUUUAUGGAACUUGUUUACCUAUUCCCACGACGAGAUCAUGAUUUGUAAGAAACUUGUUUUCCUAGAGAAAAUGUUUUCAAAAAUAUUUUGACCAACCAAACAUAGAAAAAUAGAAAAACAUUUUCCAUAUAAUAUUCUCCCCCGUACCAAACACAAUCGGAUGGUCAUUAUGAAGCGCAUUAUUAUGAGGCUAGUUCUCCGAGACCAAGUCCAUAGAUAAAUCUAGAGACAGAUGUUUGUAGGCACUAUUAGUUGUAGUUAUUGCUAAUUAAAGAGAGGUGGAAUGACAGAGGAUUACCUAAUUUUGCAAGUCGGUUUACCCACUUUGGAAUCUUUUUCCCAGUGAGCUUGUAGCAUGUAUCGUUGCAAAAAUGGUUGCAGUUCUUCGAAAUCAAAUGAUAUGUGUCACCAUUAUAGCUAGCAGCUUGACGUUCGAUAAACUCUCUAACCUGACAGGGAUCCAACUUUGUAACCCCAAGGAAUAUGGACUUCCUAAACUUGAACCCCGGGCAUUGUCGUGGUUCAACUUCAAAGACACCACUGCUUGAAUAGUCAUGAGCUCCAAAUGCAUAUUCUACACCAUGAACUGUAAAGUAUGGGUCAGUUUCACUAAACGUACAAAAAUAUGAGACGCCAAAUAGUAAUACAACUAAUUCAGACACAGAUCCACUCAUAGUUCUCCUUUUCCCAUGUAAAGUUUCACAUAUGGCUUACUAGUUCUCAUAAAACUAUUAAGACGCAAUGGUCAACCGUUAACACUUCUUCGGGAUUCCCCUGUCGGAAUGUCCCACAUAAGGCUUUCUCAAGGGGAUUAGAACCAAAAUAGGAGUCAAAAUAAGAUGCAGAAAAGACUUCUUUAUGAUAUUCUGUAAAUGAACGAAUUUGGAAUAACAAAAAUGUGGAAAACUAAUAUAUCUGUUACACACUCCAUAACUUUCUAAUCCCUCAACUUUAAGACCAUUGUCUACAUGUUUCCAUGUUGGAGCCAAGAUAUUAUAUAGUCAUCAAAAGCUUCUCUUUAGUGGCAACCAAUACAACCUCCCGUCAAGAAACACAAGAAAGAAACUGAUACAACCGUACAAAUCAAGAAAGAAACAUGCACUUAGACUUGUUAAGUUAUUUAACGAUAAUAAGAUAGUUUUCGAUGAGUCCAUGAUUUGGUCCAGAGGAAUCUCUCUUGCCAUCAAAAAGUUUAAAGUACUUUUGAAGUUCAUCGCUCCACCCAAUACAACUUUUGAAGAAUUUUACCAAUUCUUUGGACUCGACUCAAAGAAUUUGUAGAAAAUGUAACCAGGUAGCAUCAUUUUGGGGACAUUAACGGCAGCAAACCAUGGGAAAUUUCAGAAAGCACCUGAGAUGUACUGUGAGACACUAGAAUCCGUAAUGGCUCCUGUGUCGCUACAUGAUAUGUUUAAGACCAAAGAACGGAGAGCAAACUUGACUUAUGUUCCACUAACUUCAGACUUGAAUUAGACUUCCCACUUUAAGCUAGACUACCAAUACUAAUUAAAUGCAUCUAUCUGCUCUUGAAUGAAAUAAACCACAUUUACAGGUUGGAUUCUACAUGGAUAUAUCCAAGAUACAAGUUUCGUUUCUGAAUCUGAACACAAGACUUUAGCUAAUUAGCUAAAACACGAGUCAAGAUAGACAAAUUAAUUCAUCGGGUGAUGAAACAUACCACAGUAUAUUGGAUCAAACAAAACUAGGAAAAGCAAUAUAUAAGGCAAAAACCCCAAAAGAACUGUAUCUCCAAAAAUAGGAGCAACAUAUCGAUAUCAAAAAAUGGAUAUCGCUGUGUACAUUGACACACAAAUAGCCGUGAAUAACAAAAAAAGAAGUGAGAUGGAAAAUCUAACAAGACUGUACCUUCCACACCAGAAUGAAAAAUACCAAGGCCAACCCAAUAUACAUAGCCGUUCAUAGGAGUCAAGUCAUACACAUUGAGAUAAACAGGUGUGUCACCAGGACCAUAUCGAUCUGAUUUUGAUUUGGGGAGCAAACAAAAAUGUGCUGCUGAUUUGGUCUUCAAAUUGAGAGACGAAAUUGAUUUCCAUCCUUUCUUUGGUUUUGUGGUCAUUUUCCUUUCACUACUGAAAUUAAGGUUCACUCAAGGCCCACCGGCCUCUUGAUCUCUGCAUGAACCAAGCAGCAUAAGGAAACUUCAGGAACUUUAAGAAUCCAGAAAACCGAAGAAAGAAACUUUAAAAAAAUGAAAAAUCAGAAUAAAAUUAAGUAAAGAAAGAACAUAGAACGAGAAAAUGAGAAAGUGAAACCACAGAAAGAUCAAUAAUCAUGGUUGUUUGAUCACAAUAUCUCAAUAUGGUCGUAUGCUGAAUGUGAAAAUCCUGCACUAGAUAAUGUUAGGCAUGUAAUACUAUCGGUGACAUGCUUUACAACACUGUGCUUUAUCUCCGCAACUAUAUAUCAUAUCAUUUAUCACUAAAACAAGCCCAAAAAACAUUACUUUUGUCACCUAAUAAAACUCAUAGUAGUUGACCGUUGGAUUACUAGCUUCCUUCAGAUUUCACAAGUGAGUUAUAGUUCUCAUUCAACAACAUACCAUAAUUGGUUUAUUGUACUAACUACUAAGCUAUAUCACGUGCCUUAGAACUGAUAGCCAGGAAACAAAAUUUUAAACUAUUCAGGUAAAGUUUUGGCCUUACACUGACAUUGUACUGCCCUGAUAGUUCUUUCCUGAUCUAAACAACUUUGAGUAUAAUGUAGGGAGACUUGAGAAGAAGCGUAAUCAUCAGCAAAACCCAAUGGAGCACGUGUUGUUGAUUAGCACUAUAACUGAAUAAGGCUUACGAGAGAUUUAAUGAUAACAUUCUAUAAGAAGGUAGAGAACCAGAGAGCCGAUGUAUCUAAGCUAUAACCGCUCGCUCGAUGUCAUUUUACUCCCAUCCCUCCAAAAAACAACUUUGAUGAAUAUGACAUUAUCAUCCGUAUUAUAUGCCUUGCCUUCCAAACGACGUUUUCUAUCCAACUUCACACUGGAUCAUCAACACCAUCACAUGCAAGGUAGCACACAACACUUAUUGUACAACAGCCCUUUUGACUUGCUGAGAACAAGUAUCAUGCAAUAUGAAAACUCUAUUUUCUUUUUGCAGUAAGGUAUAAAAGUGUUCCUUUUGAUAACAGUGUAUUUCACUUAUCAAGUUAGCUGGUCUGUGAUACCCCGCUUGACCCUUUGAGAAUAUAGAGUAAUCUGCUUGUGCAGUUUUCCUGGUGAAAUAGCCCUUACUCUAACUUCUCAACCUUGAAAUCUUCAAUAAUAGAUUAAGUGCUCGACAGAAGGGGAUAAAUGUCGGUAAUCAACGAACCUUGAAAUGUUCAAUAAAAGAUUAAGUGCUCGACAGAAGGGGGUAGAUGUCGGUAAUCAACGCCAAGGAAAUUUCCUAGAAGGAAUAUAAGAAUGAAUCUUCAGAAGGGAGAAAGAGGAUGAGAGGGACGAAAAGAAUAGAAUAUAGGAUACCUGUCUCUUUCAACUUCAAAGAGAAGCCCACUAUAUGUAUGAGUGGGGAACCACUAAUGUAUACUAUAAUCUGUAGCGUGCAUCCAGUAAUGUCUUUUUCUUUAAUCUACUUGUAGUUUUUAAAAAAGUCAAAGUUCAAUUUCAAGGGAGAAAUACAAUAUCUAUUCAUCGCCAAUAUAAGGGAUAAAUUUAGACACAUAUAUGCACAAUCGACUAUCAGGCAGCUACAAUUGCGAAGAGAUACGCAUAAGAAAACACUUUCUGUUCGGGGUUUACCCUAUGCGCACCAUCAAAAGAGAAAACACUUCUGUUCAUUUAAUAUAACUGUUGUCACUUGAACAUAUAAAAUUUCCAGAUAAACCAUUACUGCCUUGAAACAUAAAGUCAAAUUCAACUCAGUUGAGAAAAGGAAACUAAGUUGACUCUUCUUCAGCUCUAACGAUCUGGCUAAUGGUUCCAUUAGAAAAUCUGAGAAGUUCCUAAUUAAUCAUUUCUCAUAAAUGUACAUGCUUUACGCUAAGGAUCUACGUAAAUUUUAUAAGAAGCCUUUUGCUCACAUCCUUUCUUGGAUAGCGAACAAAUCCUGGUUCAAAAGAUGAAUAUAAAUUCAAGAAACCAAACAAAUUGCCAGAUAUAGAUAUCAAAUGGAAAAUGCGAAAACAAAACAGAUGGUCGUUUGGAAAGGACUUCGAAAGAGUAAUAACAACAUCUCUUACCUAAUUUUUUCCAAAAAAAAGAGUUAAAAUAACAUCCUUACCCCGGGGUAGAGGAUUCGAAGUCCAAGUCAAAAGCAAAGAAAGUGAACAGAUUGAAUCAAAUGUCAAUCAUUAUGCAAUUGUCAACAUCCAUAGAAACACAUAAUUCUAUUUUACUCCAGAUGUGCUAAGCAGAAUAAAUUACUACUAAUUCAACAUCUAUACAAACAAACACAUAAUUAUAUUACUCUAGGAUGACUACUAAUUCAACAAAAACCAACUACUACCUCUCUAGACAUGUAAUCGCCGCCACAUCGAAGCUAAUUACAUUUCCUACUUUACCCCUCAAACCAUAACCUAUUUCUCUAACUCAUCUGCUUAAAUUCAAAGGUUUUACAACAAAAAAUCAUUCUUUCAAACUUUUCAUCCAAACCCCAUGUCUUAAAAUGCUAUUUUCCCCACACACAUAAGGAAACCACCAAAAAAUUCUCAUUAAACACACAAUUUGCAUAUUUAUGGAAAACCCAAUGAAAGAAAAAAGGAAACUAAAGCAAUCAGGCUAAAUUAGCAAAUCCAAACUUAUAAAAAUACCAGUUAUACAUCAGAUCUUGCAGCAAGAUUGAAACUUUCAAACAAUUCUUGAACAAACACAAACUUUAGCCAAGAAUUAAGAGAAAAAGAUCCAAUCUUUACACAACAACAACAAAGGGAAAGCUUUUUCAAGAAACAACAACAAAAAUUCAAGAAGAAGAAAGACUUACAUAUAGACAUUAGAAAAAAAGAUUGCAAAGACAGCAGCUUUUUAGCUUUCUCUAAGCAUGUAUACACAAAUAAUUCUUCUGUGAAGACGGGAGAAAGACAGAUCACCCUUGAAAUGAGGCUAAUUGUGUCUCUGUCCAAGUGUUAUUAACACAUACAUAAAUAAAACAAAACCCCAGUAAAUUAAACUUCAAGAAAAUGCUGUUUGAGCAACAAGUGUUAAUACAAUUUUGCUCACAAGUAAUUUUUUUUUAUUUUUUUUUUGAAGAGAACACAGAUUUCAGCAGCUAAAGCAGAAACUGACAGAAGGGAAGGGGGACACACACGCCCACACAAGUCUCUCUCCCUAUGCCUCACUUCUUCUUUUUUCUUAAAAUUUUCUAAUAUGAGUUUUGAUUAAUGGAAGAAAGAAGAAACAUUUUUUAAGGAUUUUUUUUUUUUUUUUCCCUUAUUCGGUGUUCGGUAUUCAUAUUGGAACCCAAUCAAAUUCGGAUUCACGUCGAAAAGUUUCAGAUUAGGGAUAAAGUGUUUCCUAACAAAGACGACUUUGCCUGAAAAACUUUUGGAUAUAAAACAUGAUAGUUCAUUCCUCUGUUCUAUUUUAUGUGGCGGACGGGCCAGUUUAGUCACGAAAAUUGUAAAUUUUGAAAAAUAAAAUUUUAUUUUAAAAUUAAAAAAAUGAUAUUUAUUAGAAUUUUGGGUUGUGUUUGAUCAUGAAUAUAAAAUUGAAAUAAUUAUUUAACUUGUAUAAUUGAUCUAAAAUUAAAGAGUGAAUAAUUUUUUGAUGUUGUUCAAAUUUUGAAAAACAAGUAAGUUUCGGAAUUUUUCAAAAUUUUAUAGAAAUAUGAUUUUCAAAAUUUAACUCUGGAAAAAAAAAUCAUGAUCAAAUGAUUAGAUAGAAUCUUCGAGUAUUUAAAUAGUUUGAGAAAAGAAUUAUGAAUUACAUGGUUAAUAAAUUGAAAUGUUUUUAAAAUUGUGGUCAAGGUUUUUCUUUUGAGUUCUCCAUCUUAUCUAAGUAAAAAAUUAUGGUAUUAGUUCGAAAAUACUUUUUAAAGUUGUAUGUUACUUCAUUUGUGUGUGCAUAAAUGGCUUUUUCAAAGAUGAGAGGGCCUAUACUUAAUAGGGUCAUUUCUCACCCAACUUUAUUUAUUCAUGUAUUCUUGUCAUUUGGUAGAUCCAAAUUCAUAGCUUGUGUUGAAUUUGGGACUUCUUGUUUCCUCUUAUGUUUUGGAGACUUUCAGAUCGUACGAAAAAAGACAAGAAUUGGUGGUUUCUGUAUAUGUUUGGACAAUUAUUUUCUCAUUGCUAGCUUUUGGCUUGAGUCAAAAUCAAAAUUCACUUCUUUACAUGAUAUCAUAGAAACGUUCAUCUCAAUUAUCAUUUACCGAUUACUGAUUAUGUGCUCCCAUAUUAAUUUUUUCAUGCUCUAGAUGUCGGGCCUUUCGUAUGAGGUGGGGUGAUAGGUUAUUAGGUCGGUAGUCAUGUCCAAAGUUGUGUAUCAUUAUUAUGGUGUGAAUAGGUGCUUCACCGUCGAGACGAAGAAAAGUAUGGAUCAAUCAAAGAUUUCUUUAAUACAUUAAGAUAAGAUGUACACAUACAUUUUAAUUUUUUUAUCGAAAGCAUAUUUGUUCCUUAUAUACCAUCCCUUUUAUGGCCGAGUAGACCUUUAUGCACAUGCCUCUUGAUUUGAUUGUUGGUUAAUAAGUGAAUUAUUCAUAUAUUAGAAUUAAUAUAAUUAACAUUAUGCUUAGUAGUAUUUUAGUUAUUGUGUAUAAAAUCUAGCACAUCAAGUACGAUGUUUGGUUACCAGUUUACAAUUCCACACAUAACUGAAAUAUAAUUAAGCUAUGAGUAAAUUUAUUUAUUAUAUUUUGCAAAGUAAAAAGAUAAAAUAAUUAAUACAUGAAUAACCAACAACCAAACAAUCCCUAAUUGAAGUUUGAGAAUAAUAUAUUUUAUAAUAUUAUUUAGAAUUACACAUAAAAAAUAAUUAAGUUUAAUAAAAGCAUUAAUUACUUAAUACUUUUGAAAAAUGGUAAUGACUUUCGAUUUACUUUGUCAUGUUAUCUUUAAUAUUUUGUCGUGGCUUCCUCACUUCUGCUAUUCCUUUUCUGGGACUACUUUAUUAUGUUUUUUCUUGAACAACAAGUCUAUCAAAAACAACUUCUCUAACUCCCAAGAUGGCUACCCACUAACCAGAUAGGAAUAAUGUUUGUGUACACAUUACUCUCAUCGGUAAUGACUUUCGAUCGAAAAUAAUCAUUUUAGAAAAACAUUUUCUACAAUUUAACAUAUAUUAUUAAACAUUAAGAAAAAAAAAAAAAAAAGGAGGCCUUGUUUUUAUACUUAUUCUUUUCCUGUUGGUUUUUUACUGCAGCUGGAAUAAAGUUAAAUUAGACAAAGCAAAGUUACAAUUGAGUAAAGGACAAGCUAAGUUGAAGCUUGUGAAAUGACAACAGCAAAAGGAAAAGGACUAAAAAAGAAAAGUAGGCAUAUUUGGAAUUAUAUACUAUUAAAAUAAAAUAAAAUAAUUUUUUGUUUAAUAUUAUAGUAUUAAUAAGUUGUUUCGAAAUACCUACGUAUUCUUAAUUAAUGUAAAUUUAACCAAAAAUGGAAUAUAGAUAAUUUUUUAUAGUUAUAUGUAUAGUCGAUUAUAACUUGUUAAAAGGCAUAAUUUUAUUGUACUUUAGUGAAGUUUACGUUUCCUUUUGAAAAGAUGCUAAAUCAAUGCAAUUUAGACAAAAUUAUAAAGUUUAAAGACGUUAGAUUCUACUAAUUUAAACUUGAAAUAUUAUCUAUACUUUACCAAAACUGUUUUUCUUUUUUUGGUUAAAAUUACUUUUGAUUGAUUAUCCAAAAAUAUAUAUUCAGUAUAAUCUCGCAAAUAGAUUUUGAAUAGGGUAUGAUGUUGGUGUAUAUAGUAAUGAAAUCUUAUUUCUACUUUUGUAAAGUAGAGAGAUAGUUUUUCGAUAGACUCUCGACUAUUUGAUUGAUUACCCAACAAACAACAAUAACAAAAUACCCAGUGUAAUAUCAUCAAUGUGGUCUGGAGAUUGGAGAGGAUGGAGUAUACACAGACCUUAUCCCUGCAGUUUUGGGAGAUAGAAAGAUUGAUCGUUCCGAUACACACUCGACUAAUUGGUUGAUUACCAAACAAAUGACAACAACAAUAUAUAUCUAGUGUAAUAUGACAAGUGGAGUUUGAGGAGGAUAGAACGUACACAAACUUUAUUCCUACCAUGAAAGAUAAAGAAGUCGUUUCUGAUAAAUCUUCGACUAUUUAAUUGAUUACCAAAUUAGUUUUAUUUUAAAAAAGCAAUAAAAAGGAUGGAUGAAUUUAUUUUUUGGAAAAAUUUCAUGAUUAGCUUUGUUAGUUUAUUUUUUUUACUCAUUAUUUUCCACUAAUUAAAGAAAAGAAAAUUUUCUGCAAUAUAUCUAUUCUAAGUUUAGUCACUGUCUUGAUAAGGAAAAAACGAAAAAUAAAAAGGUAAAAUGUCGACAAGAUCUACGUUACAACAGUACAUAAGUACAAGUAUCUUCUUUCUUUUUCUUUCUUUAGACAUUGUAAAUGAAUUGUUUUGGAUUGAGCAAUUGCUAAAUUAUAUUGUUUUGGAUUAUCACUGUGAAUUGUUGUCCUUAUUACUAUCUAGAAUUCAAGAAAUCUCAAAACUUCUAAUUUCUUAGUUGGAAAUAUAAUUAAUUUUUAAGUUAGUUUAUAGUGUUAAUGUCAACUUAUUUCAAGACAAUAUUUAAAUAUUCAGUGAACUUAAAAAAUAACUCAUAUUGCUAUCAUUAAAAUUAAUUUUAUAUUUUUCUAUGUUGUCAAUGUGAUGAAUGACUUAUUUGGCUUUAAACUUUAAAGGGAACAAAAAACAUGUCACAAAUAUGCAAAUUGAAUUAGAAACAUUUUCUUUUAAAACAAUUUCAUUUUUUUUUAAAAGUGUGAUGUUCUUUGUUAUGUCAUUAACAGAUACAUUAUGUGAAAUGUUUGUUUAUAAUCUAUAAAGUAUACUCUCUGCUCUCCCUCACUCUCUCCUCUCUCACCCUCUUUCUGUUAUGUAAUGAAUAUCGAAUAGUCAUUGAAGGGUCACUAAUUAAGGUAUAAUUACAUUAGUCACAUGUAUCUAUGUAUUUGGAUAACUAUAACCGUCUUCUUCUUUUUUUUAGUAUGUAAUUAUGUAUAAAUACACUUGAUACAUCACAAAUUUGGUAUCAUAUAGAUAUAUUUAUGCAUAAAUUUACUAAUACAUCACACAAUAUAGUAAAUAUAUCAGUGAGCUCUCAAAAUUAAUUUGUAACUAUUUACAUAAGUACACUAGAUAUUGCAAAUACACUAAAUAAAUGAAAUUGAUACUGAAUAUAUGGGAUUAAUAUACACACAAAUACGGUAAAUGUGCUUUAUUAAAGUUGAUCUUCAAAUAACCUAAAACAUUUUAAGAUAGGUCAUGUAGAAAUGGUUAUUUAUUAGCAAAUAAAUACCAAUUAACAAAAUAUAUAUCUAUUUGUCAAAUUAAAUGUGAGUGUCGAGAUCAAUGUUGGCAAAAUUUUCAUUAAACCAAUUCAAAUUUUAAAAAAAAAAGGAAAAUGGACAUAACAUACUCUUCAAUUUUGCGAUAUAGAGUUGAUAUAUCAUUUAAUAAAUGGCUCAUAAAUACCAUUAUUGUUACACAAAUAUCAUAUAUAUAUUUGUUUUGGCAAAUGAAAAUGAAAAAAUAAUUUUUAGAGUUAUUUUUAAAACUUUUAAUCAAAUAACAUUCAAAGACGUAUUUGAUCCUUUCGCAAAGUUAAGAGGUGUAUUUGAUAUUUUUCACAUGUGAUUUUUUUAUUGUCUUUUUUAAUUCAACGAAUAAUUUGAAUUUAUUAAUUUGAUGACCAAAUUUAUCUUUUACUUAUGUUCUUGUAAAAUCUAACAUAGAUGUUGUUUGGUAAAUACAAAAAAUAAAUUAUAAUAUAGCUAUAAAAAAUAGUUUUAAAUUAAAAAAAUUAAAUCAAAUUAGUAUUAAUCGGUUUGAUUUGAUUCUUUCAUUUGAAUCAAUUCUUAUCCCGUGAACACUCCACCUCACAUAGCUAUCUAUUAAACUCAAUUAACUUAUUAAAUGUACGUUAAUGUUAUUACUAUUAUUUCCAUAGAGUACGAGUCAGAAAUUACCAAUAUUAGGCUAAAUAAUUAACGAUAUAGUCAUCAAGUCAUACAACUUAUCAUGGUCGUGUAUUCUUUUAAAAAUAUAUAUAUAUAAACUACACUCAAAGAGAAACUAAGGAAAACGAUAAACAAAAAAGAACAAUUGUCCAAGAUUUUUAGGUUCGUUGUGAUUUAUUCUAAGGGUAAAUGAAAAAUAAUAAUUAUUUUUAUCUCAAACUUCAAAAAUGACAAAUAAUUUAAAAUAAUUAUUUCCAAAUAAUUUCCAUGAGCAAAAUGAAAGAAAAUGAAUUUAGUAAUGGAAAUAUUGAAGGGGGAUUAUUUCACUAUGCACACUUUUGUAGUGACCUAUGAAAAUUAUAUUAGAAACAUUUUCUUAUUAAAGCAAUUUUAUAAUUUUCUUAAAAAGUGUGAUAUUCUUAAUCAUGUCAUUACUAGAUGCAUUAUGCGAAAGGUUUGAUUGUACUCUACAAAAGUAUAUUAAUAGUAUCAAAUAUAGAAUGACAAACAAAAAUCUAAAAAUUCAAAUCAAUAUCAAAUCAGUUUAACUAAUUUCAAAAAAAUGUAAAACCAAACGAAAUCAAACCCCAAUAAAAUUAGUUUAUUUAUCAAUUUGAAUCACUUUUUACUCAAAUAGUAAACACUUAUGCCUUUCACAAAUAUCUAUUAAACUCAAAUUAACUUAUUAAAGAUUUUGAAUUAGCAUGACUCCUUAUGUCUCACAACUACCUAUUUUUUAGGUAAUGCAAAUGCAACAAACUUCUUCAACCAUGCAAUCUCUAUGCUUAUUUUUUUUUCAUUCUUUCUUUUUAAUCUCUUAACACUCAUUCGAAAUGAAAAUCAAAGAAAAUGAAUUUAGUGAUACAAAUAUUAACAGGGACACUAUUUCAUAUUCGAGUAGCCAAAGAUACAUCUGUGGCAGAUUUGAAAAAAGAAAUAAGUAAUCAAGAGAAACUUCCAGAGAAUCGUUUGAUUCUCAUGUUGGAUACAGGAAAUGGAGAUUCAAUCAUGUUGAAUGACGAUGAAAUUUCCCUUGUGGAGUAUGGGGUAAAAGAUGGAUCUCAUUUUUACCUGUUUUUUAAGCUUCCCGAUAAUAAUAAUAAUAAUAAUAGCAAUAAUGGUGAUGGUGAUGGUGUCAGUUUUGUCAAUCCCGAGACUCCGGUUUCUCAAGGAGAUUCUGUUGCAAAGUAGACAGAGACAGAUUCAGGAUUUUGAAGUUACUGGGUAAUAGUAAAUCUUUUUCCGUCAAUAAGUGUAGAUUUAGUUUAGUGGUAUGACUUUGAUGGCUUUUGGUCUAUGUUGUAUUACUCGACUAACCAGAAUCGGAUUUAGGAUUUGAGCUUUUUGUAGGUUUAACUUUUAAGUUUUUAGUAUUUAACCUUUUUUUCUUUAAGCUAUGAAUUCAUGUAUCUACCAUUUGCUUGCAAAAACUUUUUUAUAAAUGUUUACACCAAUACAUGUGCAUCAAAAGUAUUAGAUUCAGAUAAAGCUGAUACUAGUGUUCAACAUCCGCCACGAGUAGGUAAGUGACAAACUUGAUAUAACACAUUGAUAUUACAAGAAAAAGAAAAGGUAGUAGGUACCGAGUGGAAUAGUUCAGGUGCACGUAUAUGCUGGUCCAGACACCACCGUCAUUUUAAAAAAAUAAAAGUAGCUAUCAAUCUGAAACCAUUUGGGAAUGCAACCAAAGCAUCUUGUUUGCUAUAAACAUAGUACUCAACAACUGCUUUCAUUCUAUAAAGCUUAUCUGGAUGGUAAUUUAUAUGAACUGCAACUGGCUUCAACUUCUUCAAAUUCGAAUUUUUUCGUAUGAUUUUGAAAAGGGUCUUGCUAUUCAUGAACUAGUAGAAAUCCAUUACUCUCCUAGAAGCAUAGAGUCCAAUGUACCCGGUGUAUGAUGGAAAGGCUAACUCUUCAUUGAAAACAGCCUGGUCCCAAGCAUUUGGCUCCUGAGUGAGCCUGUUAGCAACGCGAUCCAAGAGUUCAAUUGCAGGAAUCGUUGGACAGAUAUAGCCCAUAUCCUCAUUGUAUGAGUGUAUCGAGCCCAACCCAUAUCAGCUUCAUCAGAGACGUCGUUGUAACCAUAAGCUGUCAUGUUGUUGUGACCAUUGGACGAAUCGCGGUAUAGAUGAUCAAAAGGAUUUUGUAGAUACACAAUGUCGACAUCAGAAAGCAGGACGCUGUAGCCAAGCUGCAAGAACUCUCUCAGAAUUCGGAACUUUAAUCCUGACAUGGCAUGGUUACCUCCACUUUUAACAAUAAAAUCGACAGUCUCAUCAGUGUCUCUCCCCGUUUUCAUUACAGAAAUCUACAGCGUCAUCAUCCAAUGCAACGACCAGAUAAUUUGGUAUACCAGCCCUUUUAACGUUGGUUAACCACAUUUCCAGCAUGGAUUUCACAUUUGAAUUGGCAAGUACAAGACCUCUUUCCCUACCGCGACCUUUGUCAAUAUCUUAGCUAGUCUUGGGUUCACUGAUUCGUCUGGAAGGACAGGACGGUUAGUUCUCGUACUCUUGACUUUGCCAAACGGAGCAGCUUUUUUAGGCUCACCUAACAAUACAAGUUGCUCCUGUGCACGGCUUUUUUCCUGCUCGGCUAUCUGAAGCUUUUCAUUUAGUUCUUUUACUUGCUUCUGCAACUCUGCAUUCUUCUCCGACAACCUCCUAAUGUAUGAUCUCAACAUGUUCAUCCACUCUGUGGAUUCAUUCGACCAUGACUCGAUCUGUGAAUUAGAUCUCAAAAGUUAAAACAGACAUACAUAGAGAAGACUUCAACACUGAUCAAACGACAUUUUGGCCGUUAUACCAAAUGUCACAUGUAGAAAAGAUACUAGUCAUGGAGUGUUUAUCGUCAAUACUCAGAAUUGUAUGCAGCAUAUGAAUAUAGACAUAAUGCCUAAAUGCCUCAUCUUUCAGAAAGAUGAGAAAUGAGAACGGGGCUGAAUGCAGACACUGUCAAUAAAAGGAUAGCUCGGUGGAUGAACCAUCCCACGCUCCUACAAGGAGCCAGGGAAGGUCUGCACCCUAACAAGGUACAAUGUAAGCAGUCUACACUAACACAAGCAUUACUGGCUGAUUCCAUAUCUCGAAACCAAGACCUAUAAUGUUAUAUGGAGACAACUUUACUGUUGCUCAAGAUAGUAUCAUAACCAAAAUCUCCUCAACUCUUAAACUAUCAACACCUAAUCACAUAUCAACGCAUGAAUCGAUGAUCGACUAGACCUCAAUCCUAAACUACUCAGAUUCGAUUAUACUUAUCAUCUAUAUCUGAUCCACUCUACUCAGACCAAUUUCACUACAAUAUUCAAUAAUCUGUCUCUUAUUGUAACUCUGCAUCUCAUAUCCCACCUCAACAACAAAAAUAAAGGAGAUAAUAAUAAGCAUCUGAUGUAAAGUAAACACUCCCUAGCUCCAACCUCUAUCCCAGUUUAUGUGACACCAGUUAGAUUUCGAGAGUCAAAAGUUCGUUAAUUUAGACAUGGAAUCUAUUAUUUUGAUGACAAGGGAAACCAGCAGCCGCUAUUCUUUGGUGCGCACAGGGUAAAACCUCCACUCCUAUACAAUAGCUCGCAAACCACACGAGAGAGGUAACCCGCACUAGGCAAGCCCGAUGUGACGAGCUCGACCCAAAAGGAGAAGGCAAACCCUUGCUUUCGCUGACAAGGGGUUUCAAACUUGAGACCUCCAACAUGAAAGUCCUAAGGCCAAAUCACUGGGUCAUCCUGAAGGGUAAUAUAUAUUUAAAAACAAAGUGAAAAACACUAUAACUCACAAAAAUUAAGACAUGAAAAGAACAAUAUGGUCAAAAGAAAAACUUAUUUCGAGUCGUGAAAACAGUAUCUUACCUAAGAUGAGGUACAAUAGACCAUUAUGGUCAUACUCUUUCUCAAAUCCCACACAUAACAAGAGCUUAGUGUAUCGAAUAACAGAGAAAUUAGUGCAGAGUGACUUACCAAAACAUCAUAUUUAAACAAAGGAUGAGAUUUAGGUGGUGGAUUAGAAGAAAAGAAUCCAUAGGGAUAAAAGAUAGCAAAAACACAACCAACAACAACACCUAUUGCAAUUGCUGCACCAAUUCUUGAACUUGGAGUCCCCAUUUGGAUUUCUGUAAAAUUUUAGCUGCAAAAUAUCAAAACUCCACACAUAAAAAGUUGAAAUUUUGUGGUAUUUUAUUGAUUCUUGAGAUGAUUUAAAGUCUCAUUUUUCCACAGAGAGAAAAAAGAAAAGAUUAAAGUCAAGUAGUGGAAAGACUAUUUUUUUUUUAUGGAGUAGCAAAUAAGUUGUUUAUAUGAUUGAGAAUGAUCCACUUGAAUUUCUAUGCAAUUGCAUUCAAAAGAAAAUGUUGCAAAAGUCCAAUAAUUUUAUCUUGACUAUGAUUGUUGUAGAGAUAUUUAACUAAAAGAUUGUGUUAUAUGGAGGGAGAGCCGGAGCUAGAAGUUUGGGUACGGAUACAAUCAAAGCUAGUAAAGAUUGUUUAAAUAGUUUAUUUCAUAUUCAUUGUGUUCUUUCUCCUCACCCUCAUUCCAGCUACAUCAUGUCCACUUCUCAUAAUGUUUAUCUAGAUUGUAUAUAUUUUUUGUUUACGUACCAAAUAUGAAAAAGUUGUGUCAAAAAAAAAAACAUGUUACUUUCAUAUCGAACACACCCAAAAACUCGUAUGAUUGCUUUAAAAAAUAAAAAUACCUCUUUCCUUUCAAUUUAUGCAAUAUUUUUAGUUUAUCGAAAAGUGUGAUAUUAAUAUAAAAAAUCAUUUUACUUAAUUAAAUUUCAUACCAUAUAAAUCUCGAGAAACAAAAAGUGUAAUGAGAGAGGUAGAGUACCAAACUUUGCACCAAAAACUCACAUGUAUUGCUCCUCCUACUUAGUCUAGAAUUAGAGUGUAUAAUUGAGAUAUGUUUGAAUAAUUUGAUAGGUAACUUAUUAUAUAUUUUCGUAUAAAUCAAAGAAAUGUAGUACUAGAAUUAUUAUUUUUUACAUAAUUGUGACUUGUACUACAACACACAUGCUACAAUGGCGGGGACAAAGGGUCGCGAUGAUCGGUAUGUACUAGUACCAAGAUCGAGUCUUAGACAAGCGAAUCUGAACAAAGAAAACGAAAAUAAAAAAAGAUAAACAUAGGAAACAAAGGAGAAAUACUCAUUUAUUUACAGCCAGUGGGAAAAUCAUGUCCAAGAAUACUAUUACACUGGAAAAAGAUAACAGAAGUUGGUUUCCAAGAAUUGAAGAAAGCUUAAUGCUGCAAGUUACUGUAUGUCCUAACUAGCAAUUCUAUGGGAAACCAACAUAUUUCCAGAAAGAUAAUUCCUAAAUCAAGCACCAUAUAUAGGAGCACCAUUCUGUCUACAUCUAUUCCAUAUACAUGAUCAGCACUCGUAUGAUCUUUCCCCUAACGGGAGAGGGGGGAGGGAGGGAGGGAGGGAGUUGUUUGCGAUCUACCUUCUUCGCUUGGGUGUGUGUAAAGCAUGGAGUGGGAAAGAGGAGGUAAAUUGCCAAGAAGCUAGUGCAUCAGAAGUAAAAGUGAUCUUCGAGACAUUUCACACGAUAUAAGCAAAGAUUUGACCCUCUUCAAAUGGAGCUUAAAACCUGUAGGCUGUAGACCAAAGCCAAGCGAUCCAAAGCAAGAAAUCAAAGCUCAGCUCUCAACUACAUCUUUAAGCUGUUGGAUCUUUCCUGCACAUCACGGGACAAGAGAGGCAUCAGUUUCCAUUUUCUAUAAAACCGUACACGAGAGUAAGCUACAGCUUCUACUUUUUUUGAAAUACAACACAGAACUCGUUGAAAAGGUGCUUCAUAACAAUGCUUUGAUAAGUGAGGCCAUGUUGAAUGAUAAGUCAACAUGAUGAGAGUUUUUGUAAAACGCUGAUAUGAAACAGUAAGAACUAGGACUUUCUAUAUCUAUUGAAAACCAUUAAAAAUUGAGAUCUGUAUCUAUUGAAAACCAUUAAAAAUUGAGAGAAAAACUUAGAUCAAUCAAAACAGCAACCACAUCAUAAUAACUGAACCUUCUAAAACAAUACCAAACGUGCACUAAAGAUGACAUCAAAGAAUUAAGAUGGCAUGCUCCGUAGGUGAUGUUGGAAUGAAAACAAACUUAAAUGAAGAGUAGGGCAACAUAAGCAUGAAGUGAUACAAAAUGCAGCACUCUUCACAGGUAGUAAAGUUUAUAUUUAGAGAGAAAUAAAAGAGGAUGUGUGUGUUUGAAAGGUUUGGCACAGCCUUUUUGUGUAGAAGUAUGAUAGAACAAUUUAGCACAUCCAGAGAAGUGAAGUGAUGCCUGUCAUUUCCAUGCAAGAAUUUUUUUUGUAAAUGUAAGCAAAUAAAGAACUUAAAUCCUACAAGCUGUCGAGAAUAAAAGGAGGAGAGGUGGCAAAAAUACAGAGUGCUCAUACAUUUCUGUCACUGCUUAUGUAGGACACAACCACAGUUAUAUCGUCCAGCUUCCCGCCAUAGUAACGGAACCCAGCUUCUUGAGCUGCAGAAGAGAAAGGGGUCUGCCUGUUUUUAUCCUGUGCUCUUUGCCGAGCUAAUGCAGCUAUCUUCUGAGCUGUCACCUGUGGCCCUAAGCCAGCUCUCGUUGCAUGAACAACAAUUGCAUUAAUAUCAUUGUUGUACAAAUUGUCAAACAACCCAUCAGUACCAGUUAUUAUAACAUCUCCUUGUGCCACUGGUAUUUUGAAGACCUGCAGCACAGGCAAGUCAUUCAGAUUAAGAGAGAAUUGUGCUACAACUAAAUGAAUUGGAGGCAUCCACAGUGAACCCGUUGAAGGAACAAUUUGAGUCCUGAACCGACAUAAACAAUUCAGUUGAUACUGCGAUUUCUGCUCAACCGAUAAAAGAAUGAGCAACGGAUUUUCUCUUCUUUUUUUUGGAGGAGGGGUGAUGAAUGCCUUUAAAAAGAAAUAUAGUGAUCACAAGACAGAAUGCCAUUGACAUUACCAAGAAGUUCUGAUCGAUAACUGAAAAGAAAUGGCAUUUGUCACAACUAGAAAAAAGAAAGAGAGGACAAGAACCAUGAGGGGAAUUUGAGCUAAUACUAGAAAAAGAAAAAAUAUGUCUAAAACAUGGUACACUUCUCAUGAUUCACAUCUAUGAGGACUAAACCAUGAAGAAAUGCAUCUCUCCAUACUAUGUUUAACUAAAAAAAGUAAUUACAAGGAACUGUACAGGAACAACUUAAAACAAUGAAACCAAAACACUGUGCUCUCCUAAUAACAUAGAAAAGUCGUAACAGAAGACUGAAUAAAGGUAACACUCUUUGAUUUGAGUAUGACAAAUUUUCCAGACUCCGAUAAACAUAAGCUCUAAACCAAGUUCUACAUAGUAUUUAGAAAAUGGGGCAUCACUAACCUCUCCAGAACUUGGUAAGUCACCAGCAUUACCACUCUCUAGUUGAUAUGUGAAAUUGAAAUCAUGCUGCUGCACAGGGGAUCUGAAAACAGUAGAUCCAUCUCUGACCACUAUGAAUCCGCUAUCUCCUAAAUUAACAGCAUGCAGACCCUGGGAAGAGAAAAAAAAUGAUAAGUCUAACAAUGGCCAAACUCAAAAGAAUACAUACUCCAACAAUGGCUGAGAAUUGCACAUGUACCUGAUCUGUGAGGGCAAUUAUACAGGCAGUUGAGGAACCUUUGGCUUUUGUGCAUGUAUAAGCUUUAUCGAGGACUCUGGCUGGGUCCACUGAACCUUUAGGCUCAUCUUGAAUUGCGGCCACUGAGUUCGACAUUAGCUCUCGUGCAUACUUCCCAGCAUCAAUACCAAGAUCAGCCCAACCACCAACACCAUCAGCUACACCAAUUGCUUGUUCAUCACUGCAAAUAAAAUGAGCAUCCUCUCCACCAGUAUCUUCUUUAUCAGGAUGAGGCAGGUAACAUGAUCCGGAAUUUAGUUUCAGGGUUCUGUCAAUGCAGAUAUUCCUGCAAUUGGACCAAAGCAACUAUAGGAAUGAAUAGAAAGACUUCUCACUUCAAUGUAAAAGUAAAUGCAAUAUAUUCUUUUGAUAAGCAAUCUACAGAACAUGAAGGAGAGAAUAUACAAAAUGUUCGAGAUCUACAUAAUGACUAUGCAAAAAUAUCGGUACUCUAUAGCAAAAGGUAUUAGGUAAGCCACACUUUCCUCUAUACAAAUAAGUGGGAUAUCAUAUAAAUCCAACUAAUCUUCCACAGAGAUGGAUGCCAGCUCAAAGAAAGGUUUCGAACAAGAGAUAAGCUUGUCAGAGCUUUGAAUUUUGUUUUUUUUCCUCAUAGUAGCUAGCCUUGAGAAACUUUCAGGAUGAUUUUAACUUUUACAUAGUACUUUUUUACUCAAGUUCCAACUUUGAAAUUAGCUAGUAGCUUGCUCAUGGUGGUAGAUAAAUUGUAUUAAGCAUCUAAUAUUUUCUCAUAACAGACAGCACUAACAACAAUGCCUCAACCAAAGAUAGUUGAGGAGCAUCUAAGGUCUAACAUUCUAAUACUUCUCAAGUCAUUUCUGUGUUUUCCUUUUUAGUUUCCAAAUUGUGAUAUUGGCAUAUAUGGUUUUGAAGCACAGGCAAAUAAAAGAAAAUAUUAUCCCAACCGACGCAAUCUAACACGUGACUUCUUUCAAUUCUUAAUCUACUUCAGGUGCAGAAGUUCAUAAGGUGGCAAAUUUUCUCAACCCUUGAGUUCUUGAAUUUUCUUCUGAUAUAAACUAUGGAUAUAACACUACAUUCCAAGGACUUCUAAUACUUUCAAAAAUUUAAGCACUACUCACACCAAUUUCCUUAAAUUUAUUUAACAACAAGAUGUUUCAAGUUUCUACCUACUGAGGAUAGUGUUCAAGUCAAUAAUAAUUCCUUCACUUCCACAUAUGUAGUUUGCAUAUUUCUCUUUUUGUAUUGUAUGAAAUGACAUGAAUUCCCUGUAUUUCAGCUAUACAAGGUUGAAUAAGAAUAGAAAGUUAUGAAAGGAAGCAUACUGUUCAGAUGAAUCCGCUGAACUUGAGAGCUGCACCCCACACGUAGAGUUACCAAAUGACACAUCAUGAGCAGUGCCAGUAGAAGAAGAAGCAGUUGAUGAAGUAUGGAACCCCAUCAAACCAAAGCCUGCAUAUAGAUUAGAAUUUCCCCGUCUCUUUGCUACAUUGUAUGCGAAAUAUCCGUAAAGUAAAAAGUUGUUGGGCUGAUUUUUAUUUCUCAAACUCAUGCUGGCUUUUCUACAAUUAUCAAAGCUUUUAUUGCUGUAAGAGGUAAUAGGAUUAUUUACAGAAAGAACAGCAUUGAGAUGUCUUGAAGUCAUUUUGCUUGAGGAACAGCCAGGAGGAGAAGUUCGAGAACCACAGAUUUCCAUAGGUGCUUUGUGAGAGUCGCUGUCAGACAAACUUUUAGCAGGGUCCGAUAUCACGCGAUCAAUGUGAUAGCCACAGAUGUGAAAUGCUGGCCCUGACACAGAAGGAAUUGAAACUGCACGAGAAAUAGCUCCAACUACAGAAAUAUUCUUUUUCUGGUUUACUACGUGCAAAUUCGUCUGUGCGGCAGCUAAGGUUCCAGGCCGGACAAGCACAUUCAGGUCAGUUGGUCUUGCAAAUGGUACUGAAUAGAAGCACUUUGAAUUGCCAAACAACAAUCUCCCUUGGGCAACCAAAAUCUCAACCGAAUCCUGGAGCCCACUUUCUUUCCCAGAAAUGGAUUUCUGGAGUCCCUGUCUAGCUGCCCGGCUUAAUCUAAAAAGAUAGUUACUCGGCAUGUCGGCUUACUAACCACAGCUGAUUAGCUUGGACCUCUUUAUAGGAAAAAACACAACCACCACUACUAUACACAAAAACUAUCAUUACGCUCAGUACAUUUAGUAACAAGCAUCAACUCAUGCACUACCCCCCUUCUCCAAUAUAACUUUGAGAAUCCAGACACCUACUGAACAUGAAGGAGAAUAUUAUGAGAAAGAAACCAUGAAUAUUUUGGUUAAUUAACUGUACUCAAUAGUAGUAUUAAACAUUAAUGCAUAUGUAGUUUAUGUUUGGAAGAGUAUCAUUUGAUCUCAUCUUAAAGUUAAAAUUAAUCAAGAAGAGCCACACAAAUACAAAACCAACUAAAUUAAAUAAAAGGAGCACGAAGAAACUAUUGCUUAAUCAUCUAAAGCCAUAGCCCACUCAUAGAAAAAGAAUAAAGAACCAUAAUAUUAUCAGAUAACCCCAAUUCCAAAUUAGUUGGAAUUGGUUAUAUACAUGAUACGUCUACACCACUCUAUUCAGGUUCAACUUGAUCCAUUCCCAUAAAUACAUUUUUUCUUUCUUUGAUAGAAUUCCAAGAUCCAUAUCUGAAUCCACCCACAACUCAUUGCCAUUCCCACUACUAAGAAACUCAACAUGCAUCAUUCAUUAAGUGUGGUCAAUCCCAAAUAUCCACGUCCUCAAUCAACGCAAAUAAUACACUUCCACACCACCAAUAGCGUACAAAACUCUUUCUCUAAACUUAAUCUAGUUGGAUCACUCAUAUAAAUCUCGUAUAUCCGUUCUACUCUAUUUGGGCAUGUUUCAUUCCAAUACUCAAUAAUUUAGGAACGCAUCGCACCCCAGCAAUGUGAAUCUCAUAUAGGCAGAAGUUAAACAUAAGAAAGAGAUCACGAUAUACAAUAUGGACAUCGAAAAUCAAAGCAAACACAAACAUAAAGGGGUCCAAACUUCACACCUUUAUAGAACAACAACAACAUACCUAGUGAAAUCACACCGGGUGAGGUCUGGAGAGGGUAUAGUGCACCAGACCUUACCACUACGUCGUGGAGGUAUAUGCAAACUACAAGAGAACAACAAACACAAUAAUCACACAAACUCAACAAUUUUCAAUAAAAAAUGAAAAAGAUCAGAGCUUUAAGCAGCUACCCAUUACAAAAACAAACAAGAAGGGUUCAAAGAUUGCACCUUUAUGAAUAAUAAUUGCAGGAAGCAAACACCCAGAUGACAAAAUCCAUAUAAAAUCACAAACAAACAAAAAAAAAAAAACUUAAGAGCUCCAAAUAAUAUGUUUUUUUUUUGAGAUAAAGCUCCAAAUAAUAUGUUCUUUGAAUGCCCCAAGUGUUUCUUGAUUUGCCUUCAUAUGAAUCUUGAGUUUGUUAGGUUGGAGGCUUCUCUCUCCUCUCUCUUUCUCUCUCUUGAGCUGAGCUAAAGGGCUCAGUUAAUCUUCCCCAACCAACAAACCCUAAUAAUCACCAAUGAAGAGUUUUGACUUUUCAAUUUUGGAAUAUUUACAUAUAUGGUUAGCAAUUAAAAACGGAGAAAAAAAGAAAUAAAAAAAAAAAAAAAAAAAAAAAAAAAAAAAAAAAAAAAAAAAAAAAAAAAAAAAAAAAAAAAAAAAAACAUA